GUAACACCCUCGAUGCGACUAUAUCUCCCACGUGUCGAGGCACGACUUAGAGGCAUAAUCGCAUUGAAGACAUAUGUCGCAAGUGAGGUAAUCUUCACACAACCCAUGUAAUAUAAUAAGGGAAAGAGAUACAUAGUUGUCUUACAAUCGCCACUUCACACAAUUACAUGAAUAAAGCAUUACCUCAAUCAGAUACAAACAAGGCCCGACUACGGAACCAAAAUAAAAGAAGAACCCCAAAUGCGACAAAGGUCCCCGAUCGACCCCAACUGGGCUCCACUACUGAUCAACUAAAACGAAACAGCACAAAGGGCAAGAUCUUCAUCGAGCUCCUCCUUGAGCUUGGUUGCGUCUCCUGCACGGUAACAUAGGCACCUGCAAACUGGUUUUGGAAGUAUCUGUGAGCCAUAGGGACUCAGCAAUCUCGCACCCGCGAGAUCAAGACUAUUUAAGCUUAUAGGAAGGAUGGAGUAAUGAGGUGGAGCUGCAGCAAGCGACUAGCAUAUAUGGUGGCUACAAUCGCAAAAGAGAGCGAGAAGAGAGGGCAAAGCACGGUCGAUAAAAGUAUGAUCAAGAAGUGAUCCUAUAGCAACCUACGUCAAGCAUAACUCCUACACCGUGUUCACUUCCCGGACUCCGCCGGAAAGAGACCAUCACGGUUACACACACGGUUGAAGUAUUUUAAUUAAGGUCAACUUCGGGUUUUCUACAACCGGACGUUAACAAAUUCCCAUCUGCCCAUAACCGCGGGCACGGCUUUCGAAAGUUCAAAUCCCUGCAGGGGUGUCCCAACUUAGCCCAUCACAAGCUCUCACGGUCAACGAAGGAAUAGACCUCCACCCGAGACAUUCCGAUCAGACUCGGUAUCCCGGUACAACAAGACAUUUCGACAGGGUAAAACUAAACCAGCAACACCGCCCGAAUGUGCCGACAAAUCCCGAUAGGAGCUGCACAUAUCUCUUUCUCAGGGCACACUCAGAUGAGCAAUCCGUACAACUAAAACCAAACCUCGAGUUUCCCCGAGGGGGCGCUGCACAGGGCUCUAGUUCGGACCAACACUCAGAGGAGCACUGGCCCGGGGGGGUUAAAAAAUGAUGACCCUUGAGUCUGCAGAACCCAAGGGAAAGAAAAGGCUAGGUGGCAAAUGGUAAAACCAAUGUUGGGCAUUGCUGGAGAAGCUUUACUUAAGGCGAACUGUCAAGGGGUUCCCAUUAUAGCCCAACCGUGUAAGGAACGCAAAAUCCGGGAACAUAACACCGAUAUGACGGAAACUAGGGCGGCAAGAGUGGAACAAAACACCAGGCAUAAGGCCGAGCCUUCCACCCUUUACCAAGUAUAUAGAUGCAUUAAUUAAGUAAGAUAUAUUGUGAUAUCCCAACAAGUAAACAUGUUCCAACAAGGAACAACAUCUCCAUGUUCCAACAAGGAACAAACUUCAAUCUUCACCUGCAACUAACAAUGCUAUAAGAGGGGCUGAGCAAAGCGGUAACAUAGCCAAUCAACGGUUUGCUAGGACAUGGUGGGUUAGAGGUUGAACAUGGCAAUUUGGGUGGCUGACAAGCAAGUGGUAGGCAUCGUAGCAUUGGCAUGGCAAAAGAGCGAGCAAACUAGCAUAGCAAAGAUAGUAGUGAUUUCGAGGGUAUGAUCAUCUUGCCUGAAAUCCCGCAAGGAAGAAGAACGAGACCAUGGAGAAGACAAACGAAUGUAGACGAACGGGUCCUCACAACGCGACGUUAUCGGAACCAACCCGAAGAAGCAACACCGGAAAGGAGCAAAACAAUCAUGGUAAACAACCACCACAUAAACAUGGCAUGAUGCACAACCAAGUAUGAUGCAUGUCCGGUUUAAUGAAGCAUGGCAUGACCAAAUGCACAAAACAAUCCUACAAAUUAAGUGGAGCUCAAUAUGCAACGAGUUGCAUAUUGACGAAACACCACAUUCAAGUUAUUUAGUUCUCUCCCGGUAAUGUACCCAACAAUAUUAAAUGUUAUUAAGCAUGGCAAGAGGUGAAGCAUAAAAGAAACUAUCUAACUAAGCAAUUUAAAUGGGGCCGGAUAUAACAAACAACAAAUCCGGUAAAUCCCCAUAUGCAUUAGUAAUUUAUUGCAACAAUAAUUUAAACAUAUUAAUUGUUGUUAUCAUGAUGUGGAUGACAUGAACAAGUUUAUGCAAUUUUUAUUAAAAGUUGACAUGAGCAUUAUGAAGCAUUUAGUCGUCAUGGCGGAACAAAAAGGGUGCCACGCCAACAACUCAAUGAGACGUCGGUGCAAAAGAAAGUGACGGGAGCAUGUCAUGUGAUGAACGGUGGGGUGCUCCCGGUAACCGGGUUCCCACGGGUUAGGAGCAUGGAAACGAGUGUCAAAACGGACACGGUGCAGACAAAGGGGUGCGUCUCAUACAACACAAGCAUUCGUUCUCGGACGUAUCUCGGUGGCUAUACCUUUGUAGCGUGCAAACGGGACGGUUCUUGUUCGAUGCCAAGUAGAGGAAGUAGACGUUCUCGAGACGUUUGUCGUGGAAGUAGUCGUACAACGUUUGUAGUUAAAGUAGUUGAACUUGACGUAAUCCACGCAAUCGGUGCUUGUUCGGGCAUCGGUCUUGAAGAAGAUGUACUUGGCGAAUCCGCGUAGUCGUUCGGGCGCCUGUGGAGGAACUUGACAUUCACGGUGUCCCGGUCUUGGCCAUGGAGAGGGGCGCAGCCCACACAAGGAGGGGAGACCAUGGUGAGUGCACUGGGCCUGCGCGUGCAGCGGUCAACGGGGCUGGGUGCUGCUAGUCAUCUCCUUCGCUAGGAGACAGAACGAAGGCGCGGCAGGAGUGCAAGCAGGGGGGGUGGCGCUGGUCGUCAUCGUUCGGCGCAGCAGAAAUAGGGUAGGCCAGCGACGGGGGUUUGGGGAGGUCGAUCCGGUCGACUCCGAGGCUUGGGCACGCCGGAGCUCCAGACUGGAGGCGGCGGGCGGCAUCCACGGCCAUGGCUGCUCCCGGAGCUUCGUCACAGGCGCACGGACAAAGGCAGGGCACUGGAGCUCGAGGUCGAUGGCGUCGGGCGCGAUGGAGCUCGGUGGGCGUGCGGCAGAAGGAGCAACUCCGGCAGGACGAGGGGCUCGGCGACGCGGACUUGUGGCGCCGGCGACGGGCGCGAUGGCUGCAGGCGCAGGUGCUCGAGGAGCUCCUCUCCUCGGGCGCCUGGGCGACGGGGAGCUUGGUGAGGAGGAGGCGCGGAAAGGUGGCUCCGGCCAGGGGCAUGGCCUGCUGGGCGGUCGGUGCGGGCGCCAUGGCCGGAGGCCAAGGUAGUGGACAAGGGGUUCGGGGGAAUGGGAAGCUGCUCCUCUGCGUGCAAGUGUUGGGAGGAGGACGAGGGAAAAGAGGCAUCGAGUAGGGAAGAGAUCGAAAGGGAGAUGGGAUCGAGAAGAUGGGGAAGAUGGGAUCGAGCGCGGGGGCUCUCCUGGCGGCGCGAGGGGAAAAACGAGAGGGAGAAGGGAGUCGGGCUAGGGUUUAGGUUAGGGAGUGGGCUGCGGGAGGCCUUGGGCCAAAUGGGCCUAGCUGGACACAAGUGGCGGCUGGGCUUCUCUCUUCCUCCUCUCUCUUUUCAUUAACAGGGAAUUAGAAGAAAGGAAAGAAGACAAGAGAAGGUUGGAAGAAGAAUUAGGGCAUGUGGUUAAUUUCUCCGGACUCACAAAAAUGCGCCCGGUCAAAGAAAAGUAGGAUUGGACAUGAUUGCAAGAAUUAAAUUCAAAGUCAUUUGAAUUUAAUUGAAAAGGUUUGAACAAGGGAUAGGAAUUAGAAAUGUCCAAAAAAUGUUGAGAAUUUAGGUGGAGCUCCGGAAAAUGACGAAAGGAUAUAUGGCAAAGUUAGAGGCCAAGAAUUGAAAUAAUAAAAGGCAUUGGGAUUUUUGCAAGUGUGUUAUGGUGACUCCAAAGAAUGGAUUAUUUUAUAAUAGCUCCACUAAUAUCGGGAGGAUAUAUUGUAAAGAGAAGUCAUCCUUCCCUCGAUUUAAAUGGAUCGAAGAUCCAUAAAAUUUAUUUAGUUGAGUAAGAAAAGAAAAGACAUGAUGGCAUGAUGACAUGAUGCAAUGCACAUGAUGCAAUGAAGAAUGCAACACGCAAGAAAAAGACAACGCAACAACAUCGAAUAACUGCAUGACACCUGGCACAUCGGUCUCGGGGCGUUACAACACUCCACCACUACGAGAGGAUCUCGUCCCGAGAUCUAGAAUGGCACCGGAGGGAAAACGGAAGAGAAAGGGAAGAGGUAAACUAAGUUGCUUCUUUGACAAACGAGUGAAACCACGAACCUUGAGAGGUUGGGCAAUUUAAAAGAAAGAGUACAACAUAGAUGAACGAGAUUGCAAACAAUCCGUUAGAAAAGAGGAACAAGGAACAUUACGAGGACUUGAAGGUUGCAAAGCUAUGAAUGACGAGUACAAUGGACAAGAAGGAAUUGACAUCACUCUGGUUGAAACGAGAUAAACAAGGAACAAGGAAGAUCAAAAUCGGACAGCACUCCGGUUGGAAAGAGAUGCAAGACUUGAUAAGAUGAAAAAGAACUUGAAAGAAAAAGGCAUGACACUCCGGUUAAAUGGAUAAACAUGAAAAGAACACGAUCCUGACAAAACAAGAUGAUGAGUGAAAAGAGCAACGUCACAAUGCCUCCGGAAGAAAGAAUAGAAGAUAGGUAAUUGAAAUAGAAGAAUGGAGAAGAAAAUGCCAAGCACCCUUCCAAGAAGGUUAUAACGGAGUUGUUGGAAAACCAACAACGAAAUGAAUAAGCUUGUAGUGGGCUUAUGAAAACAUCUCAACAUUAUGAGGUGACAACCGGCCACUAACGGAACAAUUACUUGCUUGAGAUUAACGAAGAGAUGAAAACUUGUUCCAUCAAGAUGGAAAAGAGAUAACUUGGGUCAUUAAUAAGCACCAAAUAGCAACAUUCCUUAGGGAAGGCUUUAGGUGAAAUCUAUACCAAGAUAACUCCAAUGAAGAGAUUGACGGUUGAAAAGAUCUCUUGAACAAAGAGAAAAAGAUGGAUUUAAAUAUGUCACUCUUGAAAACUUGUGAAUCAUGAAACGCGAAGGAAAAUUAUUAAGAAUGACCUAACACCACCUCAAAAGAUAAGGUCGAAAGAAUUGCACUUCGGAAUGCAAGAUGAAGAAUGCUUGAACUCCUCAAAACAAAACAUGUGUUGAGCACCAUGUUUAUUUUUGAGUAUAGCUUGGCUGAUCUUAACUUCAAGAGAAAUCUUGAAGAACAAUUGAAGAAUGAAAAGAAUCCUUGACGAACCACCAUGUAGAACCUCCAUGAAGAACUCCGGUAAUAAAAGGAUGAUAAAAAGAAAGAGAAGUUGAAAACACAAGGUGAAGCCUUGCGAUGAUUUAGAUGGAGCUUCGCGACGAGAUAAUGCGGAAAACUUAGAACUCCGGAAGAAAGAUGAACAACAAGAAGCCAAGAAUUUAUUCCUCCUGGACAAACUCUGAAGGAGAGGAUUAAUCACUUGGAUGAAACCAGAAUAAGAAUUAUGUUAUGCGUAUCCUUCACCAAUUUAAAUUGAUGACAAUCAACGGAUUUGGCAUACUACUUAUUCUCGUAGAAAGGAUUAAGAUAGAUAUGGCGUAAACUUGAGAAGGUCUUCAACGAACCACCGGUAGGAUUUGGAAAGGACGAAUGAAUUGAUAUGAUAACAAGGUAAGAAGAAUCUUGAGCGAACCACCAUAAGAAUUAAAAUAAAUGAAGUAAAGGGAUGAAUCACCGGUUAGAAUUAGCAAAUACAUGAAGAUGCUUGAGAGGAUUUAGAUACAUGAGAACGACGAGAUCACGAGCCGAUUAAAGAUCACUUGAACGAAGCACCGGUAAGAUCGGAGAAUGAUAACUGCAAACUGAGAAUGAAUAAAUCUGAAUUGAUGGACUCCGGAUGACAAACUGAGAAGACUCUUGAAUAUCUCCUGAUGGGUGAAAAAGAUUCUCACAAUCGAAAACAAUUAUGAGAGGAUGGCAACAAGCUAGCACCAUGAAUCUUGAAAAGAAUAGAGCAAGAUUAAAGAGAAACUCUUCUUCGGUCUUCAAAUGAUGAGAAUGACAACGGGAAACACCACCAAGAAUUAUUGAGGCACACCGGAAGAAUCAAAAGCGAAGAGGUUGAGCCAACUAUGAAAAGAAUUUGAAAGAUCUUGGAGAAAAGCAUUUGACUAAUGAUAACUCAUUCUUACGUCAAACUUGGAGAAGAAUUUAGGAUAGCUCUGGGAAAAUAGAAGAGUCAGGUAAGAUCUUGGGAAAAGACCUGUGGGUUAGGGCCCACUCAAAAGAACACCGUUGAAAAGAUUUAAAAGAGAUGUUGCACCGGUUGAAUUAAAUGACUUGAAUGAGAUACCAAUCUCGAAAGAGCUUGAACGAAUGCAGAGUGGAAACACGAAUCUUCGAGAUAUCUUGAGCACUCCAGAACAAUUUAAUAGCGAGAGAUGGAUGAUUAAGAGGUGCACCGGCAUAAGAAAAGCAUUGGAAAAAAAAAGAAAAGGAGUAUGCUUAAUACCAAAGCUUGAAUUAAAUCCACCGGAGAAGAAAAGAACGAGGAAUGAUGAACUUGAAGCUCCAUUAGAAUCUUCAUGAGAAUCACCGGAUAAGAACAUUGACGGAAAAGAAUGGAGAAACUUCCCAUCAAUAAAAUGGAUACUUGAAGAAGAAAUCUUAGUCCUUGAAGAAAAACAAAAGGGAGGGAGGGUGGGAAAAACAAAGGCAACUUGGAGACGGAUGAAACAAACACCGUUGAGAAGAAGUGAUAAAUGAUCUUGCAAAUGUUGACGUGAACGGAUCCACUUGAGGAGAGACACACCGGUUUAAAAAAAGGAUUGACAAGACAGACUCGAUGAUCAAGAAGGAUUAGUAUUCACAUAGGAAUAUGAGAACACCAUUUGAAAAAGGUAUGGAAUCAACAUUUGACAUUGAAGCAACUCGAAUACCACAACUCAAAACAAAAACAAAGGACUGGCUUGCAAAAUAAGCCAGAACAAACAUAUGAUAGAGAUUUCGUCCGAAGUUUUCGUGGUGGGGCCUACACGGGCUUGAGUGUACAGCACCAUCAUGUACAAGGCAGUGCACAUGACAUACGAAGCGUCCCCGAGUCGGCAUAGCCAAGGACUCUUUAAGACACAACGAGACCACUGUAAAAUCGACCGUGAAUAGGCGGACCACUAGACGUCGAACCCCAAUUUCAUAUCAUACAUCUGUCGGAAAGAUAUCCUAAGAGCUACUUGAAUUCCCACCUAUGAAACUCCCGAAAUUUUCAGGUUAUGCAAUCAGGUGUUGGGGAUACAGGGGAAGCAUAAUAUCUCACCCAAACUAGCAAAUCCUACAUCCAGCUGUAUCCAUCCUUCAACACAUAACCAAGAAACCUUCGGAAAUCAUCUACCUCAACCUUCGAAAAGCAUCCGUUAUACAAGUCAUGGCAAUACUCCCGUACUCACCUCAGUACUGGGUUAUCGGGGUUAUCUCACCAACAACUGCAUAAAAGAUAUUUUCGAUGUCGGCGUACUAAACUCAGGUAUUCCAGAACUGCAACGAUAAAAUUAUGAUGACAACACCUCAGAGCUCAACUCCCCGGGACACUUCCACAAAACCCCUGACAGGAGGCACCAAGACAAUGUUCUCAUCAUAAAACCAUCGGAACGAUUCCAAGAUACCCGCGUGAUCCUAAAAUUUUUUUUAGUGAAAUUUGAGAAGAGAAGAGUCAAAACUCUACGUCAGGAUGCCUUACCAGAGCGAUGAGGAGACUCGGAAGUAAAAAGAAUUCCUAAACUCUCCGAUAUAUAAUUCCUAAGGACUCAAAACAUUUUUUCUAGACACAACUCGGCUGCUAAAGACGAUCAAGCAAUGGGGCUCCUAAGGUCGGGGAAGGCUCUGAUUACCAACUUGUAACGCCCUCGAUGCGACUAUAUCUCCCACGUGUCGAGGCACGACUUAGAGGCAUAAUCGCAUUGAAGGCAUAUGUCGCAAGUGAGGUAAUCUUCACACAACCCAUGUAAUAUAAUAAGGGAAAGAGAUACAUAGUUGGCUUACAAUCGCCACUUCACACAAUUACAUGAAUAAAGCAUUACCUCAAUCAGAUACAAACAAGGCCCGACUACGGAACCAAAAUAAAAGAAGAACCCCAAAUGCGACAAAGGUCCCCGAUCGACCCCAACUGGGCUCCACUACUGAUCAACUAAAACGAAACAGCACAAAGGGCAAGAUCUUCAUCGAGCUCCUCCUUGAGCUUGGUUGCGUCUCCUGCACGGUAACAUAGGCACCUGCAAACUGGUUUUGGAAGUAUCUGUGAGCCACAGGGACUCAGCAAUCUCGCACCCGCGAGAUCAAGACUAUUUAAGCUUAUAGGAAGGAUGGAGUAAUGAGGUGGAGCUGCAGCAAGCGACUAGCAUAUAUGGUGGCUACAAUCGCAAAAGAGAGCGAGAAGAGAGGGCAAAGCACGGUCGAUAAAAGUAUGAUCAAGAAGUGAUCCUAUAGCAACCUACGUCAAGCAUAACUCCUACACCGUGUUCACUUCCCGGACUCCGCCGGAAAGAGACCAUCACGGUUACACACACGGUUGAAGUAUUUUAAUUAAGGUCAACUUCGGGUUUUCUACAACCGGACGUUAACAAAUUCCCAUCUGCCCAUAACCGCGGGCACGGCUUUCGAAAGUUCAAAUCCCUGCAGGGGUGUCCCAACUUAGCCCAUCACAAGCUCUCACGGUCAACGAAGGAAUAGACCUCCACCCGAGACAUUCCGAUCAGACUCGGUAUCCCGGUACAACAAGACAUUUCGACAGGGUAAAACUAAACCAGCAACACCGCCCGAAUGUGCCGACAAAUCCCGAUAGGAGCUGCACAUAUCUCUUUCUCAGGGCACACUCAGAUGAGCAAUCCGUACAACUAAAACCAAACCUCGAGUUUCCCCGAGGGGGCGCUGCACAGGGCUCUAGUUCGGACCAACACUCAGAGGAGCACUGGCCCGGGGGGGGGGGUUAGAAUAAAGAUGACCCUUGAGUCUGCAGAACCCAAGGGAAGGUGGUAGGUUGUUAGUGCAAAUGGUAAAACCAAUGUUGGGCAUUGCUGGAAGAGCUUUACUUAAGGCGAACUGUCAAGGGGUUCCCAUUAUAGCCCAACCGCGUAAGGAACGCAAAAUCCGGGAACAUAACACCGAUAUGACGGAAACUAGGGCGGCAAGAGUGGAACAAAACACCAGGCAUAAGGCCGAGCCUUCCACCCUUUACCAAGUAUAUAGAUGCAUUAAUUAAGUAAGAUAUAUUGUGAUAUCCCAACAAGUAAACAUGUUCCAACAAGGAACAACAUCUCCAUGUUCCAACAAGGAACAAACUUCAAUCUUCACCUGCAACUAACAAUGCUAUAAGAGGGGCUGAGCAAAGCGGUAACAUAGCCAAUCAACGGUUUGCUAGGACAUGGUGGGUUAGAGGUUGAACAUGGCAAUUUGGGUGGCUGACAAGCAAGUGGUAGGCAUCGUAGCAUUGGCAUGGCAAAAGAGCGAGCAAACUAGCAUAGCAAAGAUAGUAGUGAUUUCGAGGGUAUGAUCAUCUUGCCUGAAAUCCCGCAAGGAAGAAGAACGAGACCAUGGAGAAGACAAACGAAUGUAGACGAACGGGUCCUCACAACGCGACGUUAUCGGAACCAACCCGAAGAAGCAACACCGGAAAGGAGCAAAACAAUCAUGGUAAACAACCACCACAUAAACAUGGCAUGAUGCACAACCAAGUAUGAUGCAUGUCCGGUUUAAUGAAGCAUGGCAUGACCAAAUGCACAAAACAAUCCUACAAAUUAAGUGGAGCUCAAUAUGCAACGAGUUGCAUAUUGACGAAACACCACAUUCAAGUUAUUUAGUUCUCUCCCGGUAAUGUACCCAACAAUAUUAAAUGUUAUUAAGCAUGGCAAGAGGUGAAGCAUAAAAGAAACUAUCUAACUAAGCAAUUUAAAUGGGGCCGGAUAUAACAAACAACAAAUCCGGUAAAUCCCCAUAUGCAUUAGUAAUUUAUUGCAACAAUAAUUUAAACAUAUUAAUUGUUGUUAUCAUGAUGUGGAUGACAUGAACAAGUUUAUGCAAUUUUUAUUAAAAGUUGACAUGAGCAUUAUGAAGCAUUUAGUCGUCAUGGCGGAACAAAAAGGGUGCCACGCCAACAACUCAAUGAGACGUCGGUGCAAAAGAAAGUGACGGGAGCAUGUCAUGUGAUGAACGGUGGGGUGCUCCCGGUAACCGGGUUCCCACGGGUUAGGAGCAUGGAAACGAGUGUCAAAACGGACACGGUGCAGACAAAGGGGUGCGUCUCAUACAACACAAGCAUUCGUUCUCGGACGUAUCUCGGUGGCUAUACCUUUGUAGCGUGCAAACGGGACGGUUCUUGUUCGAUGCCAAGUAGAGGAAGUAGACGUUCUCGAGACGUUUGUCGUGGAAGUAGUCGUACAACGUUUGUAGUUAAAGUAGUUGAACUUGACGUAAUCCACGCAAUCGGUGCUUGUUCGGGCAUCGGUCUUGAAGAAGAUGUACUUGGCGAAUCCGCGUAGUCGUUUGGGCGCCUGUGGAGGAACUUGACAUUCACGGUGUCCCGGUCUUGGCCAUGGAGAGGGGCGCAGCCCACACAAGGAGGGGAGACCAUGGUGAGUGCACUGGGCCUGCGCGUGCAGCGGUCAACGGGGCUGGGUGCUGCUAGUCAUCUCCUUCGCUAGGAGACGGAACGAAGGCGCGGCAGGAGUGCAAGCAGGGGGGGAUGGCGCUGGUCGUCAUCGUUCGGCGCAGCAGAAAUAGGGUAGGCCAAGGACGGGGGUUUGGGGAGGUCGAUCCGGUCGACUCCGAGGCUUGGGCACGCCGGAGCUCCAGACUGGAGGCGGCGGGCGGCAUCCACGGCCAUGGCUGCUCCCGGAGCUUCGUCACAGGCGCACGGACAAAGGCAGGGCACUGGAGCUCGAGGUCGAUGGCGUCGGGCGCGAUGGAGCUCGGUGGGCGUGCGGCAGGAGGAGCAACUCCGGCAGGACGAGGGGCUCGGCGACGCGGACUUGUGGCACCGGCGACGGGCGCGAUGGCUGCAGGCGCAGGUGCUCGAGGAGCUCCUCUCCUCGGGCGCCUGGGCGACGGGGAGCUUGGUGAGGAGGAGGCGCGGAAAGGUGGCUCCGGCCAGGGGCAUGGCCUGCUGGGCGGUCGGUGCGGGCGCCAUGGCCGGAGGCCAAGGUAGUGGACAAGGGGUUCGGGGGAAUGGGAAGCUGCUCCUCUGCGUGCAAGUGUUGGGAGGAGGACGAGGGAAAAGAGGCAGCGAGUAGGGAAGAGAUCGAAAGGGAGAUGGGAUCGAGAAGAUGGGGAAGAUGGGAUCGAGCGCGGGGGCUCUCCUGGCGGCGCGAGGGGAAAAACGAGAGGGAGAAGGGAGUCGGGCUAGGGUUUAGGUUAGGGAGUGGGCUGCGGGAGGCCUUGGGCCAAAUGGGCCUAGCUGGACACAAGUGGCGGCUGGGCUUCUCUCUUCCUCCUCUCUCUUUUCAUUAACAGGGAAUUAGAAGAAAGGAAAGAAGACAAGAGAAGGUUGGAAGAAGAAUUAGGGCAUGUGGUUAAUUUCUCCGGACUCACAAAAAUGCGCCCGGUCAAAGAAAAGUAGGAUUGGACAUGAUUGCAAGAAUUAAAUUCAAAGUCAUUUGAAUUUAAUUGAAAAGGUUUGAACAAGGGAUAGGAAUUAGAAAUGUCCAAAAAAUGUUGAGAAUUUAGGUGGAGCUCCGGAAAAUGAUGAAAGGAUAUAUGGCAAAGUUAGAGGCCAAGAAUUGAAAUAAUAAAAGGCAUUGGGAUUUUUGCAAGUGUGUUAUGGUGACUCCAAAGAAUGGAUUAUUUUAUAAUAGCUCCACUAAUAUCGGGAGGAUAUACUAUAAAGAGAAGUCAUCCUUCCCUCGAUUUAAAUGGAUCAAAGAUCCAUAAAAUUUAUUUAGUUGAGUAAGAAAAGAAAAGACAUGAUGGCAUGAUGACAUGAUGCAAUGCACAUGAUGCAAUGAAGAAUGCAACACGCAAGAAAAAGACAACGCAACAACAUCGAAUAACUGCAUGACACCUGGCACAUCGGUCUCGGGGCGUUACAACCGGCCACUGCGUGGCCGAGCCAGAGAGGCGUUUCAGCCUAAAGUUCAGCCUGCACCCCGCCGCCACUCAUUCAAAAAUACCAAGGCCCGGGGCAACACACGGGACCUGCGAGACGUAUUGGACAGUAAGGCAAAACUUGCAAGGUCAAUAUACGGGUCACGUGCACGCGCGCCAACACAGGACGAUGAUCGUCACGCCGGAUACACCAAAAGCAAAUCCGGCCGGGCCGAACAUAGCAGACAAGACUCACAUGAACUGCGUCAGGAUAUAGCCCGACACAGAGGCGCCGCACACCCCCUAUGCUUCAAUGAUGAAGUUAUGGAUCAUGAAUUCCUGGAGGGUUUCAAACUCGUAAAUAUCGAAUCAUAUGAUGGUACAACAGAUCCUGCUGUAUGGAUUGAGGAUUUCCUCCUUCACAUCCACAUGGCUUGCAGUGAUGAUCUACAUGCCAUCAAAUACCUCCCACUAAAACUCAAAGGACCAGCUCAGCAUUGGCUGAAUAGCUUGCCAGCAGACUCCAUCAACAGUUGGGAGGAUCUGGAAGACACAUUCCUUGACAACUUCCAGGGCACUUAUGUGCGACCACCGGAUGCUGAUGACUUGAGCCAUAUAACUCAGCAGCCAGGGGAAUCGGCCAUACAAUUCUAGACACGAUUCCUGACUAAGAAAAACCAAAUUGUCGAUUGUCCGGAUGCAGAGGCCUUAGCAGCAUUCAAGCAUAACAUCCGUGACGAGUGGCUUGCCCGACACCUCGGCCAAGAAAGGCCGAAGUCUAUGGCAGCCCUCACGACACUCAUGACCCGCUUCUGCGUGGGCGAGGAUAGCUGGCUGGCUCGCAGCAAUAACACAUCGAGGAAUCCGGGCACUUCGGAUACCAAAGAUGCCAACGGCAAACAAUGUCGUAACAGACCAAAGCGCCGCAAUAAUGGCGAUAACACUGAGGAUACGGCAGUCAAUGCCAGAUUCAGAGGCUCUAGAUCCGGUCAGCGGAAAAAGCCAUUUAAAAGAAGUACUCCGGCUCCGUCCAGUUUGGAUCACAUACUGGAUCGCUCGUGUCAAAUCCACGGCACCCUCGACAAGCCAACCAAUCACACCAACAGAGAAUGCUGGGUGUUCAAGCAGGCCAGCAAGUUAAAUGCCGAAAACAAGGACAAGGGGCUGCAUAGUAAUGACGAGGAAGAGCCCCGGCCACCGAACAUGGGAGGACAGAAAGGGUUCCACCCACAAGUGAAGAGGUGAACAUGAUAUACGCAACCCACAUUCCCAAGAGGGAGCGGAAGCGUGCACUAAGGGACGUCUAUGCGAUGGAGCCCGUCGCCCAAAAGUUCAACCCAUGGUCUGCUUGCCCGAUCACCUUUGAUCGCAGGGAUCACCCCACUAGCAUCCGUCAUGGCGGAUCCGCCGCACUAGUCCUUGACCCCAUCAUCGACGGAUUUCAUCUCACUCGAGUCCUUAUGGACGGCGGCAGCAGCCUGAACCUGCUCUAUCAGGAUACAGUGCGAAAAAUGGGUAUCGAUCCCUCGAGGAUGAAACCCAGCAAAACCACCUUUAAAGGCGUCUUACCAGGUGUAGAGGCCCAUUGCACAGGCUCAAUCACACUGGAAGUGGUCUUCGGAUCACCGGACAACUUCCGAAGCGAGGAGUUAAUUUUCGACAUCAUCCCGUUUUGCAGUGGCUAUCAUGCACUCCUCGGACGAACUGCAUUUGCAAAAUUUAAUGCAGUGCCGCAUUACGCAUACCUCAAGCUCAAGAUGCCAGGACCUAGGGGGGGUCAUAACAGUAAAUGGAAACACAGAACGCUCACUCCGCACGGAAGAGCGCACUGCGGCCCUUGCGGCAGAAGCACAAAGCAGCCUUUUAAGGCAAACCACUAAUUCGGCGUCACAGCCCCUGGACACCUUCAAGCGAGUCCAUAAUAAGCUGCAACAGGAUCGUCUGACACGUUCAGAGCUCGCCUAGCAAUUCGGCCCCCGUCCCAGUCCCAGUCAAGCGACGAAAUUCGUGCUGCGCGUACAUAACUACGCACUAAAAAUACCAUGGAUAUAGAUGGGGGCACAAUCAGGGCACGUCCCACAAUGCGGCUUAACUGCACUAGGGGCUAUAUACCUUUAUUACUUCUUUUCUCUUUUAGGACCUAACACCCCGGAAGCCCUUUCUGGCAGUACGAUUGCCGGACAGAUUACGGGAAGCAACAACCAAGGUGGCAAGAAGCCAAGUGUCGGUGGGAACGACACCUAUGGGAUCACAAGAAUCCCUACUACGGUUGCGGGGCGCGGGGUCGUGAGAAGAGCGGAUCAAACAGAUAGCACAUGGUUCGUUUAUCCAGGUUUGGGCCGCGAGGAUGCAUAAAACCCUACUCCUGCUUUGGUGGAUUGUAUAUCUGUGUUCUUGAGCUAGCUAUGGGGCGUGAGGAGCUCCAAAAAGCCAAAUCCUCCUCCUGGUUGCCUCGGGCCUCCUUUUAUAGGAAAGGGGUUGCCACAAUGGCACACAUGAGGUGGAAAGGGUACAGUGAUGCGAGGUUAUCCCUCGCAUUACAUGAGAAGGCGCAUUUAAUGCGUCUUGCCCAGGUGUCCUUGCUUUAUCAGGGACGGGGGAGAGCCUUGUCUCGUCCGUCGCCGCUCCCUCUUGUGUCGACAUGCGCCCUGGCCAGCGGUGCCCGCGGUGCCAUGUAGGCAGGCAGGCAGCUGAGGUGGCGCAGUGGCGGGUCUCCACGAAGAUCCGCAUGCCGCCACGCAGAUGCCUGCCCAGCUGGUUGGGUCGGCAGCUGCAUGCGAACGGCGGUGGAGGUUUGACUGGCGUGGGCCUAAUGGUGGCCCCACGGGUGUUCUUGGCAAGGGCCUUGCCGGGGCCUCGGCAAGGGUCUUGCCGUGGCGCCUGCUGUCAUCCCCGGCAAGGCUCUUGCCGGGGGCCUUGUGGUCCUCCUUGGCUGGGAUCUCGCCAAGGAUCAUCAUCUUCUAAAGGGUGUAUCUGAUCUUGAAUGCCUUCACAAAGAUCUGCAUGCCACCACGGGGAUGUCUCCCGAAUCCUUGCCCCAUGGGGGCAGUGGACUCAAGGGUGACUCACUCCGUAGGUGUGGGGCGAGCUGCCACGGCAAGGGUCUUGCCGGGUUUGCUAAAACCGCCUCCCGGCAAGGAUCUUGCCGAGGGGGGGGGGGUCCGCUUCGUCCCCUUUGCUCUUUGUGGUCUUGGUCUUGGCGUCGUUCUGCUUCUCCUAAGCUUCGGCCUUACCUUGGCUCACCUCCCUUGCCUUGCUCAGUGUGGUGGUGCCCGUGGCUCAGACUGCCCGUGCACAGUUAUAGGGGUACAAAAAGUGUACCCCUCUUUUUGUACACCGACAGGAGCCCUCGGGCCACACGUAAGCGCAAUCACGUCAUUGGGCUAGGCCCAAAAACGGCGCGCGGACAGGCGGGGCGGUUUUUACCGCGGUAAGUCUCUUCGCGCGCUGCGCUUCCCAUGCUUCCCGUGCAUGGCGUGGUGUGGGGUGGCGUGUGUGACGUGGGCGGCAUGCGUGGGGCUGAGCUCUGCAUGCAUGCGUCAUGUCGUAGUAAAGGGGGCGGUUCGCGCCUUCCCCAGAAACGGAGGGAGGCAUGGAGGCGUGGCCCAUUUACUGAACGGGGCCAAGGCGUGGUCUUCAAGGCGUCCACUCCCCAUGAUCACAGGGUGGGGAGAGGUCGCCUCUCCCGUCGCCUCGGUCCUGCACGCCCGUCACGUGGCUCUCAUGCGCUUAGGGUGGCGAACGGUGGAGGCGGGAAACCGGGCCGCCGCGGGCCGGGGUGGCUGGUCGGUCCCAGUUCCCUGCGCCUUCUGCGUCUUGAUUGGCUGAGCGGGGUGGCCGAGCCCCCACCCUGUUCCUUUAUAAAGAGCGGGAGGGGGGGGUGGCAUCCCGCAUUCUUUCAUCUCCUCCUUCCUUCAGCUUCUGCUUCCCCUUCCAUCCGCCAUGGAGAGAGGGAAUCCUGGCCCUUCAACGGUGGUGGCGAGGGUCGCCGCUCGACAAUGCAUCCCUCCUUCUCCUGCACCCGCGGUGGCAAAGCCAGCCGCGAGGGGAAGGGGAAGGGGGCGAGGCCGAGGCACUUGGGGAAGAGGAGAACGGGGCGGCGCGCCGGCCUCGCCUCUGCCAGUAGUUCCUCCUCCCAUGGAGGGCCACGUUGGGGAUGACCCUUGCGAGUUCUUCGUCAGGCUACGCCGGCCGCCUCGCUGUCGCCUUCGUCUCCCGACUCCAUUCACAUAGGAGAUGGAGCUGGAUCCGCCGGAGUCAUUGCGGCUGCACAUGAGGGGUUGUGGGAUCAACGGCACGCGGGUCCGCGUCGACUUCCCCGCCCCUCAUGUGAUGUAUCUUUGUCGGGGAUGGAAGACGUUUGCCCAUAUCCACCGCUUGACGGAGGGGCUCAAUCUCCAUUUUAAGCUGAUGGAGGGUGGCCUUCUCUCCGUCAAGGUCUUCGGGUGCUUUGGGACCCGUGCAAGGUGCUGCGUGGAGAGCUCUUCUGAUAGUGAAGACUCCUUCUCGGGCGGGAGUGACGAGGAGGACAACAGCAGCGACGACGAGGGUAGUAGGAGGCAGGAUGAUGGGUCCGAUUAGGUGUCGGGUGCCGCUCCGUGCGGCACCGGCGACCCCAUCAUCCGCGUCGCCGGCUCCCUGAACUUCUCGGGGUCGUAUCCUUGGGCGGCUGGCGUUGGGAGGCUGCGGGAGAGGAAGAGGGCGGGCGGCAAGGCCGUCAAGUCGGAGUACGCGGGCACCGACGCCUUUGACGCGUGCUGACGUCCUGCCGCCUCGUCUUCGAGCUCUGCUUCCAGCGCCGCCAUCACCAUCCAGCCUUCGGACGGCCACCGAGAUGUUCUCUUGGUGUCUUCUGCCACCCGUAGCUCGCCUAGGCGCCCCUUUUGCCCUUUUCGCCUCCUUGACCUGCCUCCUGAGGAGAGGGACAAGAAAGGGAUUAUGGGCACCUUAUCUCUUUUUAGUUUGUAAGCCUUCGGGCCUUAGCUGAAUUUAAAACUUGUAAUCCCAUCAUUCAUGUUUUUCAUUCCGUAUGGACUGUACCUGAGUGGAAUGUUUUUAAUGAAAAAGGGAUGCUUGUCGGGUCAUUUGUUUGUGGGUAGAACCCACGACAAGGUGUAAAUCCUUGAUAUCUUUUAAGAUAAACAUUUCCUUGCCCGGGAACAGGCCUUGCCGUCUCCCCACUUCGCUCGACCUUUCUCACACCUUUGGCGGAGGCAGGGAUGUGGUGGGUUCAGGAUCCUCGUUUCAUCCUCUCGCUGCCGUGACUACGACCAAACCUGGUCCCAGGGACGAGCCCUAGGGCCUAGAGUUAGGGGAGCAUGGUAGCCUUAGGAAAAACGAGGUUUCACAUACCUCAGUCCAUAAGGGAAUGCAUGAUAAGGGAUGAAGAACUUAUCUGAAGCUGUAGCCCCCGGCAACUCUGGUUUGCCAUGGGUGAAUCUUUGCUCUUGCAGCCCCCGGCAAUACUGGCUUGCCGGGGUCUAGAUGCUGGUCUGUCCCUCUUCUCUUUUUCAUCCUCAAGUGAUCCGGCAAGGAUAUCUGCGAGUCCUGCGAACCAAAGAAGACGAAAGAACGGCAAAGAGACGCACACUCGACCUCUAAGCUAGGGGUUAGUCGCCACUAAGCACUAUCAACCCUAACCAAGGACGAGACUCAACCUAGCAUGCAUGCUAUAACUUAGGGCGCCAACGCUUCAUUUACUUGUGCUCAGGGUCUGCGCCUGGCUUUGUACAAAGGGUUAUAUGCAUCAUCGGCAAUGCUUGUACAAAAGGUGGCUUGCUGGGGGGCCCGACAAGCCGUGCCUCACGGGUAAAACUUGCGAAGAUGCUCAAUGUUCCAGGAGUUACUCACCGGAACGGCAUCUUCGAUCUCCAGGCGGACUGCGCCGGGCCUGGUGACUCGUAUUACCCGAUAAGGGCCUUCCCACUUUGGCGUCAACUUGUUGGAAUUCUUGGCCGAUUGAACGCGCCGAAGGACAAGGUUGCCUUCCUCAAGGCUUCGUGCAUGAACCUUGCGGCUAUGGUAGCGACGCAAGGCUUGCUGAUAGCGUGCUGCUCUCACAGCCGCCCGAAGACGAUCUUCCUCAAGGAGCAUUGCGUCAUCUUGCCGCAGUUGCUCUUGCUCAAGCUCAUCAUAAGUGAGCACUCGAGGUGACCCAUAUAUGAGUUCAGUGGGGAGAACUGCCUCUGCCCCGUAUACUAGGGCAAAGGGUGUCUGACCGGUGGCUCGAUUUGGCAUCGUCCCGAUCGACCAAAGAACCGUCGGCAACUCAUCAAUCCAGCGCCUUCCGCUCUUGUGUAGCCUGUCAAAGGUCUUGGUCCUUAAGCCUCGUAGUACUUCAGCAUUUGCCCUCUCAGCUUGACCAUUGCUUCGUGGGUAAGCAACGGAAGCGAAACAGACUUUGCUGCCGAGGUCUUGGAUAUAUUGCAUGAAGGUGCGGCUUGUGAACUGUGUGCCAUUGUCGGUGAUGACCCUGUUGGGUACACCAAAACGGCACACUAGUCCCUUGAAGAACUUGACGACUGACUGAGCUGUGACCUUCCUCACUGCCUCCACCUCCGGCCACUUUGUGAACUUGUCGAUUGCAACGUACAAGUACUCAAAGCCCCCGACAGCGUGGGGGAAAGGGCCCAGUAUAUCGAGCCCCCAGACCAAGAAGGGCCAGGAGAGAGGAAUGGUUUGAAGGGCUUGAGCUGGCUGAUGAAGCUUCUUUAAAUGGAACUGACACGCUUCACACCUGGUGACUAGUGUCGUCACAUCCUGGAGGGCGGUGGGCCAGAAGAAGCCUUGCCAAAAUGCCUUGCUGGCAAGGGCCCUUGACCCGAUGUGGGAUCCACAUAUGCCUCUGUGUAUCUCCCCAACAGCUCCAGUCCUUCCUCCCGAGGGAUAUAUUUCAAUUUCACACCGUUCGGCCUCUUCCUGUACAGGACGUCAUCGACGAACUGGUACAUGGUAGAGCGACGGGCUACUUUUUCCGCUUCUUCCUGCUCUUCAGGAAGUUCCCCUGUUUGGAGGAAUCGGACGCUAUGCUGUGCCCACGCUGGAGCCUGGGGCUCGACGGCGAGGACUAAAGGCAUUUCCUCCGCUAUAGGAGCGGCUGUCUCAACGGCAAGAGCUUGACGCUCCGCCGGAGCUAGCCGUCCCAUGGCAGGCUCAGUGUCCCCGGCAACAUCCUUGCCGGCGGCUUCGUGGAGCUCGGCGGGAAAGUACUUGUCGGGUCCUGAUUUCCUCCUCUUGUUCUGCUCUAUUGAUGGAUCAACGGAUGGCUGAGUUAGCUGGAGCACAAAGGUACCUGGUUCCAUAGGUAGCUUGAGGGCAGCGUGUUUUGACAGGUAAUCGGCGAUAUCGUUCUCCGCUCAGGGAACGUAUUCAGCCUGUAUACCGUCGAAACGCUCUUCCAGCUUUCUCACUUCAUCGACGUAGGCCUUCAUCAACGGGCUCUGGUAGUCCUUGUUGACUUGCUUGACGACGAGCUGCGAGUCGCCCCUGACGAUGAGCUUCUUGAUUCUGAGGUCCGCCGCGAUCCUAAGACCGGCAAGCAGCCCUUCGUACUCUGCCGUAUUGUUUGUUGACACCUCCCUGGGGAAGUGCAUCUGGAUCACGUACUUGAGGUGCUCUCCGGUGGGUGCAACAAGCAGUACGCCAGCCCCGGUGCCGUGUAAGGAGAAAGCUCCAUCAAAGUACAUGAUCCAAAUGCAACUUGCCUCCUUGCCGGGGAGAGAAGUCUCUUGGGCUUCUUCGUCAGGCGUUGUGGUCCAUUCUGCAAUGAACUCCGCCAGGACUCGGCUCUGAAUCGUUGAAGUACUUUCAAACUUGAGGCCAAAGCUGGACAGCUCCAGUGCCCAUUCCACAAUUCUUCCCGUUGCAUCUGGAUUGUGCAAUAUCCGUUGCAGAGGGAGGUGAAUGACGACAGUGAUCUCGUGUGCCUGGAGGUAGUGAUGCAACUUCCUCGAGGCCAUAAGUAGGCCGAAGAGUAGUUUCUGCACGCCAGAGUACCUUGAUCUAGCUCCCUGCAGGAGGGAACUAACAAAGUAGGUUGGGUGCUGCAUCAUUUUCUUCUUCGGCGGCACUUCGACUGGCUGUGUCGUCUCUGCAUUGGUGGUGUCGGGCUCUGUCGCUGCCAUUACCUCGUCGUCAACCUCUCUCUGUGCCACUAGUGCGGCGCUGACCACCUGGUUCGUUGCCGCUAGGUAUAGCAGCAACGACUCCUGUGGCCUAGGCGCAACUAGUAUUGGCGCGGAGGAGAGGUACUUCUUCAAAUCUUGCAAUGCUGCUUCGGCUUCUGGCGUCCACUCCAUCGGGCCCGCCUUUUUCAGGAUCUUGAAAAAUGGAAGGGCGUGCUCGGUAGACUUGGAAAUGAAUCUGCCCAUGGCGGCGAUGCAACCAGCAAGCCGACGCACAUCCUUGAUUCGCUUGGGUGCUUCAAUCUGCUCUAUAGCUUUGAUCUUGUCCGGAUUGGCCUCUAUCCCACGCUGUGACACAAAGAACCCGAGAAGCUGGCCGGACGGGACGCCAAAGACGCACUUCUCAGGGUUCAGCUUGAGAUUGAUCUUGCGCAGGUUUGCAAAUGUUUCUUGCAAAUCCGGUAUGAGGGUUGCCCUGUCCUUGGUUUUGACCACUAUGUCAUCCAUAUAAGGUUCCAUAUUUCUAUGGAGCUGGGGUUCAAAACCAAUCUGGACCGCCCUUGCAAACGUCGAACUAGCACUCUUCAGCCCGAAAGGCAUCCGCAUGAAACAGCACGUACCACAUGGGGUGAUGAAUGUUGUUUUCUCUUGUCAUGAAGAUCUGGUGGUAGCCGGAGUAGGCAUCAAGGAAUGACAAUAGAUCACACCCAGCUGUGGAGUCAACAAUCUGGUCGAUGCGCGACAACGGUAAGGGGUCCUUAGGACAAGCCUUAUUGAUAUCUGUGUAAUCAAUACACAACCUCCACUUCCCAUUAGCCUUGCGCACUACGACCGGAUUGGCCAACCACGUUGGAUGGAGCACUCCUCUUACCAAACCCGCUGCUUCCAGUUUCCGGAUCUCCUCUGUGGUGAACUCUUGUCGUUCCAAAGAUUGCUUUCUGACCUUCUGCUUGACGGGCCGCGCAUGAGGACAGAUAGCAAGGUGGUGCUCAAUCACCUCCCUGGGAACGCCGGGGAUGUCGGAAGCUUGCCAUGCAAAUACAUCGACAUUCGCCCACAGGAAGGUGACGAGCGCGUCUUCCUAUUUAUUGUCAAGGGUGGAGCUUAUGGUGAAAGCCCCUUCCGUGCCGUCCUCAUUGACAGAAACCUUCUUGGUUCCCGGCGGUAUGGCCCUGGCUUCUUGUUUCCGCCGGUGGAGCUCUCUGGCACGUCCUCGACGGGAGCGCUACACUCCGAAGAGGUGUGCUUGCCGGAGUGGGUGUCCGAGGUCUCACCGGUCUUCUUCUUCUUCUUCUUCUUCUUCUUCCCUCCCGGGGUCCCAGCGGCAGGAGCAAGUGCCCUAGUGGCGGCAGUUGCUGCAACUGCUUGCUGGUAUAGUUGGUCAGCGCAAAUCAGCGCAUCUUUCUUAUCGGAGGGGAUGGUGAUGAUCGUCACAGGUCCUGGCAUCUUCAGGGUGUUGUAGGCAUAGUGUGACGCCGCCAUGAACUUGGCCAGCGCUGGGCGGCCAAGGAUCCCGUUGUAGGGCAAGGGGAUCUUGGCAACAUCAAACACGAUCCUCUCCGUCCUGUAGUUCAGAUCGCUUCCAAAAGUCACGGGCAGCGUGACCUUUCCCUUAGGUUGGCUUCUUCCCGGGUUGACCCCCUGAAACAUGGCCGUCUCUUCGAGGUCUCCAUCAGGAAUCUGUAGUUUCUCGAUCACGGCAGGCGAGAUCAAGUUCAGACCAGCCCCGCCAUCGACUAGCAUCUUUGUCACCUUGAGGUUGCGUAUUGUUGGUGAAACCAACAAUGGCAAGCACCCGACCGCAGUAGUGCGAUCAGGGUGAUCCUCAGUGUCAAAAAUGAUAGGUGUGCUGGACCACUUCAGCGGCCUUUGGGCAUCAAACGACGACUCUGCCGCUGUAAUCUCUCGCGCCCACUGUUUAAGCUGGCGGUGAGAAGUAUGCAGCGAGGCGCCACCGUCGACGCACAUGGCCUCUGUAGCUUUCUGAAACUCUUGAUCGCCGGAUUCAUCGUCCUCUUCGUGAUCGUCAUCUUCUAGUUUUUUGUCACGGCCCCGGCGGGCCUCUCCUGUUGUUUAUCCUUGCCACGACGGCCCGCCUAGCCGUCAUGCUUCUUGCCGGACCCCUCAGCACCGUCUCGGCCCUUCUCCUUGUCCCGCCUCUCAUAUUCAGCCCUCUGCUUCUCAGCGAGGAGCUCAACCUGUCGGCAGUCUUGGAGAGCAUGGCCUUUGGUGCGAUGGAUCUUGCAGUAUCGCUUGUCGGAAUUUCCUGGCUUAUCGGCAAUCGCCAAGGCCCGGCAGGCGACACAUCCGGCAAUUUCCUUGCCGGGGUCGUUUGCCUUGGUUUUCUUGGUGGAGCCGGUGUCACCAGAUCCCUCGACGGCAAGCACGGCUUUACCUUUGCGCUUCCUGUUGCGGCACCGGCCCUUCUUCGCCGGGGCGGCAGUAUCUUCAUCUGAGGAGUCGGUUUCCAUGCCGGCGUCCUCGCCGGGGUACUUCCUUCCCUCUUCAGCCCGGGCACAUCUGUCAGCAAGAACAUAUAGUUCUGCUACAUCUUUCACCUUGUUCAUUGCCAGCUCUUCGCGCAUCUUGCGGUUACGCACGUUGAGGGAGUCCUGGAUUAGGGGGUGUUCGGAUAGCCGAACUAUACCUUCAGCCGGACUCCUGGACUAUGAAGAUACAAGAUUGAAGACUCCGUCCCAUGUCUGGAAGGGACUUUACUUGGCGUGGAAGGCAAGCUUAGCGAUACGUUCAGAUCUCCUACCAUUGUAACCGACUUUAUGUAACCCUAGCCCUCUCCGGUGUCUAUAUAAACCGGAGGGUUUUAGUCCGUAGGACAACAUACACAUCAACAAUCAUACCAUAGGCUAGCUUCUAGGGUUUAGCCUCUCUGAUCUCGUGGUAGAUCUACUCUUGUACUACCUAUAUCAUCAAUAUUAAUCAAGCAAGACGUAGGGUUUUACCUCCAUCGAGAGGGCCCGAACCUUGGUAAAACUUUGUGUCCCUUGCCUCCUGUUACCAUCCGGCCUAGACGCACAGUUCGGGACCCCCUACCUGAGAUCCGCCGGUUUUGACACCGACACACGUUCUGAUGGAACGCGCUGAUGAUGGCGGUAGGGUGAACAUCAGGGAUAUUGUACUGUAUCCGGCUGAACCUCUGUAUAUACUUGCGGAGACUCUCGCCUCCCUUCUGGGGAAUGACGUGCAGGUCGCUCGCUUGGCCAUGGGCUUGGUGGCCUCCAGUAAAGGCGCCCACAAACUCAUGGCACAAAUCCGACCAGGAGGAAAUAGAGUCCACCAGCAAGUGCAUCAACCAUGACAUGGCGUUGGGUUUAAGAGCCAACGGAAAGUAAUUCGCAAGCACCUUAUCGUCGCGGGCUCCGGUAGCUUGCAUCGCAAUGGUGUAGAUGCUAAGGAACUCGGACGGGUGGGUCUUGCCGCUGUACUUUUCGCCCACGUCAGGUUUGAAGGUGCGGUGAGCGGGCCACUGGAACUGCCGCAGCUCACGGGUAAAAGCCGGACAACCUACCUCGUAAGGUAGGCCUCCAGGGCUCUCUGGUGCCGGGUGGUUCACAGCAGGCCCUGCUCGCCUGUCUGACUGGUGGCGCGCUCCGCGCCGGCGCUCGAUAGUGGUUCGAGCGUCUUCAUGUUCUCGUUCCCGAAGGACUUGGCGCUGGUCAUAGUGGGUCCGCGGGUCGGACGAUGCUAUGGAGAUUUCGUCGCCCGUAACGUCACGACGGGCUGGCGUCCGCGGUACCGGGCGAGGAGGAGGCGAGUGCAUCGUGGUCGCGGUGCCGCCGGCCUUCCUGCCACUGGUGCGUGGGACUCCGUCGGAGCGUCGACCCGGGGGCUCCACCGGACUCGGUUCGUCUUUGUUGGCCACCGCAACAAGGCUUCGGAUAGUGGCUCUCUAUUUGUCGAGUUUCCCCGUAGUGGGAGGAAAAUCGAGGAGCAACUGUGCGCGCGCCAGGGCUUCUGCUGGCGUUGGUGGCAGCGAAACCUGCACGGAUCGUGAUGCGCUUCGACUUCUGACCAUGUCAGAAGGAGCUCUAUCAUGACCCCGCGGUUGCAUGCCAUCUUCACCAGCGCCUCAGUGAGCGGCAGGUCUUCUACCUCCCGGGAGUGGCGCUCGGGGCUCUUCCCGCGGCGACACCCGGGGUCUUCGGCGUGAUUACGCCGUUCGUCGCGCGCCGCUUGAGAGGAGCGCGCCGUCGGCGCCGGCGUGGGAGUCUUGGAGGCCCUCGCAUCACCUUCGGGCGGGGUGGCAGCGAUCUUGGAAGGCCCCACGCCACCCGCGGAGGGCCUGGCUCCGUCUUUGGAUUUGGCGGCGUGCGGCCCGUUACCAGGCGCACUAACAUCGCCGCCUCCCAAACUCCAGCUGCUGGGACGGUGUUGUUGUUCGCGAACGGCGCCCCGGGUCCUUUCUGCGACCGGUCCGCUGCUCGCCCGCGUCGGGACGGGAUGUCCGGCUUCCGACGGGCCAACCGCCACCGUCGUCUUCUUCUUGGGAACCAUGUCGAUGAAGAAGCGUCAAACUAACUGCUAAAGCCGAUUCUCACAACUGCGCCCCUACCUGGCGCGCCAAAGAUGUCGGUGGGAACGACACCUAUGGGAUCACAAGAAUCCCUACUACGGUUACGGGGCGCGGGGUCGUGAGAAGAGCGGAUCAAACAGAUAGCACACGGUUCAUUUAUCCAGGUUCAGGCCGCGAGGAUGCGUAAAACCCUACUCCUGCUUUGGUGGAUUGUAUAUCUGUGUUCUUGAGCUAGCUAUGGGGCGUGAGGAGCUCCAAAAAGCUGAAUCCUCCUCCUGGUCGCCUCGGGCCUCCUUUUAUAGGAAAGGGGUUGCCACAGUGGCACACAGGAGGUGGAAAGGUUACAGUGAUGCGAGGUUAUCCCUUGCAUUACAUGACAAGGCGCAUUUAAUGCGUCUUGCCCAGGUGUCCUUGCUUUAUCGGGGACGGGGGAGAGCCCUGUCUCGUCCGUCGCCGCUCCCUCUCGUGUCGACACGCGCCUUGGCAGUGCCCGCGGUGCCAUGUAGGCAGGCAGGCAGCUGAGGUGGCGCAGUGGCAGGUCUCCACGAAGAUCCGCAUGCCGCCACGCAGGUGCCUGCCCAGCUGGUUGGGUCGGCAGCUACAUGCGAACGGCGGUGGAGGUUUGACUGGCGUGGGCCUGAUGGUGACCCCACGGGUGUUCUUGGCAAGGGCCUUGCCGGGGCCCCGGCAAGGGUCUUGCCAUGGCGCCUGCUGUCAUCCCCGACAAGGCUCUUGCCGGGGGCCUUGUGGUCCUCCUUGGCUGGGAUCCCGCCAAGGAUCAUCAUCUUCUAAAGGGUGUAUCUGAUCUUUAAUGCCUUCACAAAGAUCUGCAUGCCACCACGGGGAUGUCUCCCGAAUCCUUGCCCCAUGGGGGCAGUGGACUCAAGGGUGACUCACUCCGUAGGUGUGGGGCGAGCUGCCACAGCAAGGGUCUUGCCGGAGGGGGGGGGGGUCCGCUUCGUCCCCUUUGCUCUUUGUGGUCUUGGUCUUGGUGUCGUUCUGCUUCUCCUGAGCUUCGGCCUUACCUUGGCUCACCUCCCUUGCCUUGCUCAGUGUGGUGGUGCCCGUGGCUCAGACUGCCCGUGCACAGUUAUAGGGGUACAAAAAGUGUACCCCUCUUUUUGUACACCGACACCAAGAUAAACACGGGAACCCCUAGGUGGUCUCUAAUAAUAAUAUCCGCUUUCUACUAUCCAUACGCAGCUUGCCCUUGGAUAGGACAUUUUGAAUAGUCCUACUUUCUGCUUAUUGCACUACCUGUACCAGUACGCCUCGACGUAUUAUUUAAAUAACAAUGCAUAGCAUUAGUAUAUUAUUGCAUUAUUCAUUCCUUUUUUCCCUUUAUGUCCAUUCAUGACAAUCCGCACCCGUACGUUCUGGUACGGUCAGUAUGCCAGGGGCUUUCGUUUACCCCAUAAUACGGUGCAAGAAGUCCGAACACUUUCGACAGUGCGGCACCCCAAACUUAUAGCAUUAUAUGCAUCAACUCCGAAUCAUGUCUUUGGUCAAAUGUUGGGUUUGCCCGGCUUCCUUGCUUUGGUACCUUACGUACCGCUAUAUCGGCUAAGGUAGCGGUGGGAGAACUACUGCGAUUGCAUCCCGGUUCUUCUGGACGAGCGCCUUAGUAGAGAAAGCCGAAAACCGACUGUCAUGAUAAGGCGUGAGACUGGUCGCUGUUCGAGAGGUCUCAAGUCCUUAAAGACUUUUUCCACUUCGGGUGAGGAGCCGGCCUUGUCCGGCUUAGGCGAGUAUAGCGCCCCAAAUUCGGCCUUCCGAACACUAGGGGCUUCGCCAAAGUUUAAAAUUGUAGACUUCUAUGGCUAAGUGAGAGUGAUAAAGCCUUGUAGUCUGAUUGCCUGGUUCAUUGCACUGAACACCUCCCUUGAAGGACCCAAAAUUGGGGUAAAGAGUGCUCAUGUUUAUCCCGAACACCCUAGUACUAGCUACAUGGGGGCAGAAGCCGACGACUGACCAACUCUCAGAUAUUAUAAACGGCCGCACAGAAGGUAACAUUUUAAAUGAAAAAAGCGUUGCAUAGCGCAGAUGAACUUGGUUCACAUUACAGGAUCACACAAGCAUGUUCAUUCAAAAAUUACAUCCCUGGCACAUUCAUCCGCCACAAGGCGAGAACCCUUCAGGACACUCUCAUAGUACAUCUCGGGGUGGCGAUGCUCCUUGCCCUCCGGUGGCCCCUCCUUCACCAGCUUCACAACGUCCAGCUUCGCCCAGUGCACCUUCGCCCGGGCAAAAGCCAUGUGCGCACCCUCGAUGCAGGCUGGCCGCUUUAUGACUUCAAGCCGUGGGCAGGCCUCCACAAGCCGCCUCACCAGACCGAAGUAGCUGCCGGACUGGGGCUCGCCAGGACACAUCCGGACUAUAAGGUCCCUCAUGGCCUGUUCGGCCGCCUUGUGAACCUCGACCAAUUGCUUCAGCUGGUCGCUCAAGGGCAUCAGGUGUUCGGUCCCAGUAUACUGAGACCAGAACAACUUCUCCAUCGAUCUCCCCUCCUCAGCUCGGUAAAACUCCGCGGCAUCCAGUACACUGCGGGGAAGAUCCGCGAACGCUCCUGGAGAGCUCCGAACUCGGGUAAGAAAAAGGAAAGUUUCCUUCACAUGCUUGCUUUGCAUAAUGAAUGGCUUACCCGCUGCUAUCUUCUUCACCACAUCAAUUUCCUGGAGGGCCUUGUGGGCUUCAGCCUUGGCGCUCUGGGCGCUUUCAAGCGCCUGUGCGAGCUCGGACUCUCGCGUCUUAGAGUCGAGCUCCAAGGACUCGUGUUUUUUGGCAAGAGCCUCGACCUCUUGCUGCACCUCGCCCACUUGGGCUUCUUGCUUCUCCUGCUCGAUGUGUUCCUUGGCCACUUUGUCUUCGGCCUCGGAUAGUGCCUUCUUCAGGGUCGCAACUUCGGUUGUGGCCCCUGGGAAAUUCAUGAUGAUCCUAUUACUUUACACCUGAACUUCUUUUAUUUCAUAUAAGCAAGGUAUUGCUUACCUUUGCUCUCCUCGACCUGCCUCUUGGUAAGGCCAAGCUCAUUCUCGGACCGCUCCAGGUCCUGCUUCAGCGCAGAGACCUCCGCAGUACGUGCGGCAGCGGCCAGCAGCGAAGCCUGCACAUACACAUAGAUUUAUUCUGAUUAGACUCCUGAGUCAUCAUUUGAUCCUCUAUUCAGCCUUUCUACUCGAACGCCGAAUAGAGCAUCAGGGGCUACUAUCUAUGCGGUAAUAUUUUCUUAUAUUUUGAUUGCUUACCUCAAAGCCUAUUAGGAGGUUGGCGCAAGCUUCGGUCAGCCCGUUUUUGGCGGACUGAACCUUCUCGAUCACCGCACUCAUGAUAGUGCGGUGCUCUUCGUCGAUGGAAGCGCUGUGAAGCGCUUUCAGCAAGUUGUCCGGUGCCUCUGGAUGGACAGAGGACACCGGCACGGGUGGUUGGCCCCCCUUAACAGGGGACCGCCUGCCGGAGUCCGGAACCAUCGAAGGUUCCGGCGCAGUGUUUGGCCGGGGCCGAACUCGAAGCCCGUAGGAGCCUCGCUCCCUUGGUACCCAGGGUCCGGGAGGUCGCCUCGAGACGCCUCCAGGACCACCUCCCCUUGGAUCGGUGCCUUUUGAGACAACACCUCGGCAUUGUCCAUAGGGCGAGGGGUGGAGGCGAUCGGAAGAGAACCGUUGUUCAUAUCCGAUGAGUCCAACGAACCGCUCGACGAAGAUAGGUCGAGAUGAGCUCGGGACAGACUGCAUAAUCUUGUUCGGCAUGAGGAGAAGCAGUGCUGUAAAACAUACCAUGAAUUACUAUGGUGUCUGGAUACUUACGACUUUGCCAGGGGCUUGACCCUGGGUAGCCACUCGUCGCUGCUGUAGGCGGCCGUCGUGGAGCAGUCCGAAGGGAGGGUCCUGCCCUUCUUGGACCCUUCGGCCUCCUCGGUUGGAUCGGCCUUCCUUUUCUUGUCUCCCCCGGCUGGGGGGGAGAACUUUCCUCUUCCUCCUCCUCGUUUUCAUGGGAGGAGGGCGCGUCGGAGUUAUCAAACGAUGAGUCCGAUACAACCUUGCGCCGGAGACCCUUUCGGGUCCCCGCAGCCUUCUUCUUGGCCUUCUUCACCGGCACCUUGUAAGGUGCCGGAACCAGCAUCUCCAUCAGGAGAGCAUCGGCAGGAUCUUCCGGCAGGGGGGCGGGGCAAUCGAUCUGCUCCGCUAUCUUCACCCAGUCCUGUUAAAGGCAUGGAAGGCUUAGAUCCCGCACAUGAUUAAACUGGGGCAAAUAGAUACCCUAUGAAAUAUAAAAACUUACCAGAUUAGCACGACGCUUUGCCCUGAGUCCGCGGUCCUCGGUGAGGGAAGGAGGUACCUUGGCGCCCUUAAACAGCACCCUCCAGACGUCCUUGUGCGUCGUGCCAUAGAGCUCUCACAGCGUCUGGUGCUUGGCCGGGUUGAACUCCCACAAGUUGAAUGCCCGUUGUUGACACGGGAGAAUCCGGCGGAAGAGCAUGACCUGGACCACGUUGACGAGCUUAAUUUUCUUGCCCAUCAUGUUCUUGAUGCAGGUCUGGAGUCCGGCCAGCUCUACCGAGGAACCCCAGGACAGGCCAUUCUCUUUCCAGGAGGUGAGCUGUGUGAGGAUCCUGGAUCGGAAUUCGGGGACCACCACCCAAUUGGUGUCGCACGGCUCGGUGAUGUAGAACCACCCCGAUUGCCAACCCUUUAUGGUCUCCACAUAGGAGCCUUCAAGCCAGGUGACAUUAGGCAUCUUGCCCACCAUGGCGCCUCCGCACUCCGCUUGCUGUCCGACCACCACCUUCGGUUUGACAUUGAAGGUCCUCAGCCAUAGGCCAAAAUGGGGCUUGAUGCGGAGGAAGGCCUCGCACACGACGAUAAACGCCAAGAUGUUGAGGAUGAAAUUGGGGGCCAGAUCAUGAAAAUCCAGCCCGUAGUAGGACAUGAGCCCGCGGACAAACGGGUGGAGGGGAAAUCCCAGUCCACGGAUAAAGUGGGUAAGAAAAACUACCCUCUCAUGGGGUUCAAGCGUUGGGAUGAUCUGCCCCGCAUCUGGUAGCCGGUGCGCGAUAUCCGCGGCCAGAUAUCCGGCUGUUGGGGAUCUUAGCAGAAAUUUAAAAUUUUCUACGCAUCACCAAGAUCAAUCUAUGGAGUAAUCUAGAAACGAGGGGAAGGGGAGUGCAUCUACAUACCCUUGUAGAUCGCUAAGCGGAAGCGUUGCAAGAACACGGAUGAAGGAGUCGUACUCGUAGCGAUUCAGAUCGCGGUUGAUUCCGAUCUAAGCGCCGAACAACGGCGCCUCCACGUUCAACACACGUGCAGCCCGGUGACCUCUCCUACGCCUUGAUCCAGCAAGGGGAGAAGGAGAGGUUGGGAAGACUCCGUCCAGCAGCAGCACGACGGCGUGGUGGUGGUGGAGGAGCACGGAACUCCAGCACGGCUUCGCCAAGCACUACGAGAGACGAGGAGGGAGAGAGGUAGGGCUGCACCAACAGGGGAAGAACUUCGUGUGUUGGGCUUCCCCUUUGCCUCCACUAUAUAUAGGGGGAGAGGGAGGGCUGCGCACCCACCUAGGGUUUCUACCCUAGGGGUGGCGGCAGCCCCAAUCCCCAUCUGGGGUGGCGGCCAAGUGGGGGGGAGAGGGAGGCGCACUAGGCAUGGGCCUUAGGGCCCAUCUGCCCUUAGGGUUUGCUCCCCUCUUCUCUCUAGGCACAUGGGCCUUGGUGGGGAGGCGCCCCAGCCCACCUAGGGGCUGGUCCCUUCUCACACUUGGCCCAUGUAUGCCUCCGGGGCCCGUGGCCCCUCCCGGUGGACCCCCUGUCAGGACCCCGAUUCCAAGUCACAUCGAUCUAGCCGGUAACACCUCAUAUCACUUUGCGGCCUCAUGCACGGUAUCCCACGGGUGUCGCCUUACCAUGGCCCGGGACCGUUUGCGCCUUUUGGCUCACGUAUAUGAUUGUGUCGCUAGCAUCCAUAUGACAGAGAACCCGGGACGACAUGGCUAGUCGUGAACCCAAAGCGGCACAGACCUAUGGAGACAGGCAUACAUGAAUCACAUUGAGCAUGUCGGUCAUCAGCGAGUGAUUCCGGGCUGUAGCACUGGGCUAACAGGACUCCGGGGGACCCGGGCUGUAGCAGGCUAGGCAGGACUCCGGAAGUCACCGCGUGACAUUUCCCCGAAGGGACAGACAUAGGAACUAAGUGAAACACAUGUCGGCCAGUCAAGUGUCCUGAACAGUAGUGCCGGGCUAGCAGGACUCCGGUGAACCGGGCUGUAGCGGACUACUAUGGCUCGAGGAACACUAGACUACAUUUCCCUAUAAGAAAGGCUGCCAAGGAUAAACAACUAGAUUGUCGGAUCCCACUCAUACCAAGCAUUUCAAUCAUACACACAAUAUGCCCGAUAUGAGUACAUACAACAUGGCAUCACAACAAAACUCUACAACUCAAGUACUUUAUUUAAAAGGCUCCAGGGAGCCAUACAUAACAUGUUCAUACAGAUAGGGGUCACAUGACCCGACACUCAAGUCAUACAAUCAUACAAGCACAUGCGGAAGCAACCGGUCUGAGUACAGACACUAGAAAGAAAGAAGGCUUCUCGAAGCCUGUCUAUCUACAUAGGGCCCUCCAUGGCCAGGAUCACCACCUGGGUGGCUAGUCACUCGUCGACGUCAAGGUCUACAUAAAACCCAUCGGAGGGGCCAGUUUUGUCGUCUGAAAACAAUAAAUAAGCAAACAUGAGUACAAGGUACUCAGCAAGUCUUACAUCAGAACCUAAUAUACAUGCUCAUUCUCAAGAAGGUGGUGGGGUUAUUGCAGCAAGCCAGCUUUGACUCUUGGCUAAGCUAUCCUACGAAACUUCACUAGUAAAAUAGUUUUUGCACACGAGUCCACUACUCACCAACACAAUACUCCACCGUGGAUCCUCCCUCGUCAUCCUACGAGAGGGCCAUCCUCGGUACUCACACUUAUCUUGAGUCUUUUAGUAGUAUCCAUUAACUUGUCUAUGAACUGUAUAGGCAACCAAGUAGUCCUUGACCUAGAAAAUUGUGCACCAAUUUUGCCAGAGGUUCUAACCCAAGACAAAGAGGGUGAACUUUUUAGAAGGGCAUUUCAGGUUCAUUGAAAAUAAUUUUAGUAAACCCUAGUUGUUUCCAGGGGGGUGUUGGGGGUUUCUGCCUUCCCCAUUUCAAAUUUAAGAGAAAUUUAAACAUGAUGCACACUCUAAUGCUUGAACUAGCUAGGGUGUGACAACUCACCCCCACUCAAAAGAAUCUCGUCCCGAGAUUUAGGAUCCUCUGGAAAGAAGGUGGGGUACUCGAGUCGAAGACGAUCCUCCCUUUCCCAAGUGGCUUCUUUCUCGGAAUGAUGUGACCAUUGAACCUUGAGAAACUUGAUAUUAUGACGUCGAGUGGUACACUCGGCUUGAUCAAGGAUACGAACGGGAUAUUCCCGAUAUGAGAGGUUAUCUUGUAGAUCAAGUGUUUCGUGGUCCACUCCACGGAUAGGAUCCGCGAAGCAACGCCUGAGUUGUGAAACAUGGAAGACAUCGUGAACUCUGGAAAGAUGCGGAGGUAGUUCCAAUUGGUAGGCAACUUCUCCUCGUUUGGCAAGAAUGCGAAAGGGUCCAAUGUAAUGAGGAGCCAAUUUGCCUUUGAUACCGAAACGAUGGGUUCCCUUUAACGGGGUAACCCGAAGGUAAGCCUUCUCGUCGACUUCAUAAGUCAUAGGCUUAUGUUUACGAUCAUAUUGACUCUUUUGACGAGAUUGGGCUGUUUUCAAUUUCUCACGAAUAACGCGAACCUGCUCUUCUGCUUCCUGAAUCAUAUCCGGGCCAAAGAGUUGUCUUUCCCCGGUUUCUGACCAGUUAAGAGGCGUUCGACAUUUUCGUCCAUAGAGAACUUCGAAAGGAGCCUUGCCCAAGCUGGCUUGAUAACUAUUGUUAUAAGCAAACUCCGCGAAUGGAAGGCAUUUCUCCCAACUCAUUCCGAACGAGAUGACAGAAGCUCGGAGCAUAUCUUCCAGAAUUUGAUUGACUCGCUCUACCUGACCACUUGAUUGAGGAUGGAAGGCGGUACUAAAAGAGAGACGAAUUCCCAUAGCAUUUUGGAAACUUUCCCAAAAUCGAGAGGUGAAGAGACUCCCACGGUCUGAGUUAAUUUCCAACGGAACACCAUGAAGAGACACUAUUCGGGAGAUGUAUAAAUUGGCUAGCUGGCUAGCGGUGAUACUCUCACGAACAGGUAGGAAAUGGGCUACUUUGGAAAGUCGGUCGAUCACGACGAAGAUGGCAUUAUUCCUCUCUUGGUCCUGGGAAACCCAGUGAUGAAAUCCAUACUGAUUUUAUCCCAUUUCCACUCGGAAUAGCCAAAGGUUGAAGGAUGCCAGCAGGCGUUGAUGCUCUGCUUUAACACGAGGACAAACGUCGCAAUUAGCAAUGUAUUGAGCGAUUUCUCUCUUCAUCCUAGUCCACCAAAACCUUUGGCGUAGGUCUUGAUACAUUUUAGUACUACCGGGAUGAAUGGUGAGAGGGGAUUCAUGAGCUUCCUUAAGGAUCAUCUGGCGUAGAUGUUGUUUCUUGGGAACCACCAAACGGUUCUUGAAGAAGACAGCACCUCGCUCAUCCAUGGAGAAACAUUUAGCAACUCCACUAGCGAUGUUUUCCCUAAUUCGGGAUAUGCCCUUAUCAUACCGCUGGCGGUUAUGAUUUGAUCCAUAAGGUUAGGUUUCACUACCAGGGUGGAUAGAAAACCUCGAGGACAAUGUGAAGAUUAAGCUUACGAAAUUCCUCAUGGAGAAGUGGUUGACUUUGUUAUAACAUCAGGUUAUUACAAUAGGACUUACGGCUUAGCGCAUCAGCCAUGACAUUGGCUUUGCCCGGGGUGUAAGUUAUUCCUAAAUCGUAAUCCGAGAUCAACUCAACCCAACGUCUUUGCCUGAGAUUCAAAUCUGGUUGGGUGAAGAUAUAUUUCAAACUUUGGUGAUCGGUGAAGAUCUCGCAACGAUUACCGAGAAGGUAAUGUCGCCAUGUUUUAAGUGCAUGGACUACAGCUGCAAGCUCUAGAUCAUGUGUGGGAUAAUUUUCCUCAUGUGGGUGUAAUUGCCGUGAAGCAUAGGCAAUUACCUGACGAUCUUGCAUGAGUAUGCAACCUAGUCCUUGUCGCGAGGCGUCGCAAUAGAUAAUAAAGUCCUUGGAGAAAUCUGGUGGUACCAGUACGGGAGCAGAUGUCAGGCGUCUUUUCAGUUCCUGAAAAAUGAACUCGCACUGUGGAGUCCACUCGAACUUUUUAUCUUUCUUGAGGAGUUCAGUUAGAGGUUUAGCAACCUUGGAGAAAUUCUCAACGAAGCGGCGGCAAUAGCUCGCUAAGCCAAGGAAGCUCCGAACUUGCUUAACCGUCUCAGGUGGAGUCCAAUCAAGGACGGCUUGAACUCGCUCGGGAUUGACAACAAUACCCUUACCAGAGAUUACAUGGCCUAGAUAGGUCACUUCUGGCAACCAAAAUUCACACUUGGAGAAUUUGGCAUAAAGGCGAUGCUCUCGGAGUUUCAUCAAUACCAGCCUUAGAUGUUCGGCAUGUUCCUCUUCGUUCUUGGAGUAGAUGAGUAUGUCAUCGAGGUAUACUACGACGAAUUUAUCCAAAUACUCCAUGAAGACCGAGUUCAUUAACCGGGAGAAGGUGGCUGGGGCAUUGGUUAAACCGAAGGACAUAACGGUGUACUCGUAUUGGCCAUAACGAGUAACAAAGGCCGUUUUGGGAAUGUCCCCGUUUCUGAUUUUGAUUUGAUGGUAGCCCAACCUCAAAUCCAUCUUGGAGAAGGCUGAGGAUCUAGCGAGCUGAUCAUACAGAUCGUUGAUCCUGGGAAGCGGGUAUUUGUUCUUGAUGGUGACCAAAUUGACAGGUCGAUAAUCCACAACCAUUCGAUCCAUUCCAUCCUUCUUCUUGACGAAGAGGACGGGGCAAGCCCAAGGAGAGGAACUAGGAUGGAUGAAACCCUUUUUCAAGGACUCAUCGAGUUGGUUCUUAAGCUCGGCUAGUUCUAAGGGUGCCAUCUUGUAGGGUCUUCUAGAAAUUGGAACGGUUCCUGGAACAAGGUCUAUCACAAACUCAACAUCCCUGUCAGGUGGAACACCUGGCAGUUCUUCUGGAAAGACAUCCGGAAAGUCUCAGACUACCGGAACAUCCUCAAGGUCUGGAAGGGGGUUGGCAUUUAAGGAGUAAAGCUGGCGCUUGGCCACUCGAGUUAAGACAUUGACUGUCUUGCCCGAUGGGUGAGUAAGUUGAACGGUUCUAGUGGCACAAUCAAUCUUAGCAUAAUGGGCUGACAUCCAGUCCAUACCCAAGAUGAUGUUUAUGUCCAAGGACUUGAGAGCUAUUAAGGAUGCAAGGAAGACAAGUCUAUCGACAAGAAUUUCAUUCCCAUGGCUUACUCUAGAAGUUUGCCAUUUGGAACCCGGAGUUUGAAUUACCAUGGAAGUGGGCAUAUCACAGAAUGUCGUGUUAUGCAAUCGAGCAUAGUUCUCGGAUAUGAAUGAAUGAGAUGCUCCAGUAUCGAAAAGAACAGAUGCCGGAUGGCAGUUAACAAGGAGCGUACCAAGGACGACGUUAGGAUCCUCAUGAGCCUCCUCAACUGAAACAUAGUUGACAUGGCCACGGGCAGUGUUGACCGGCUUGGCGUAGAAUGUCUUUCCCGCGGGCUUACCACGGCCAACAGACUUUCCAGUUUGGAUGGGGUUGUUGUUCUGGGGACACUCUCGGCUAUAGUGACCCGGCUCUCCACACUUAAAGCAUGUCACCACAUUGGGGCGUGGAGCAGCAUUAGCAGCGGGGCCACCAUAGGGCUUGGGCGAUGCAAAUUGCUGGUUGGGACGAGGCGCCUCAAAGGAUGGCCUCAGGAUGAACCUGGGUGGCAGUGCCGUGCUUGGAAUCCACACCCGGUGCUUCUGAGCUCCAGAGCCGGAUGAAGAGCCAAAAUCACAGGAGUGCUUGCGUGAAGCGUCAUAAUCAGUCUGGCCUGUCUCAGCACUGAUGGCUUUAUUGACCAACUUCUGAAAGGAUGUGCACUCGUGCAGAUGGAGAUCGCGGCGAAGCUCAGGGCUAAGUCCCUUGUGGAACCUUGCCUGCUUCUUAGCGUCAGUAGAUACCUCUUCAGGGGCAUAACGUGCCAGAUUUCCAAAUUCACGACUAUAAGCAUCCACAGUCAGUCUUCCUUGGGUGAAGUUGCAGAACUCCUCCCUCUUGUGAUCCAUGAGACCUUCCGGAAUGUGAUGCUCACGGAAAGCCUCACUGAAUUCAGCCCAAGUAGUGAUUUGGCCGACCGGGCGCAUAGCUUCAAAAUUCUCCCACCAGAGGCUAGCAGGGCCUUCGAGAUGAUAGGCAGCAUAAGUAACUUUGUCGGCUUCGGCUACGUUGGCAGAACGUAGCUUGUGGGUGAUGCUGCUAAGCCAGUCAUCCGCGUCGAGGGGCUCGACGGAAUGGUUAAACUUUGGUGGGUACAACUUGAUAAAGUCAUUGAUUGACACCAAGUCAUUUCGUGGGUGGCGUGCAGUGUUCUGCUCAAUCCGCUCCAGCAGGCGGUUAGUCUCACGCUUGUUUCUUUCCGCCUCCAGCAUCACUUCGGCCAGAGAAGGCGGGUGAGGCAGAUUUUCACCCCUAGCUGCACUGGCUUCCCCCUGCUCCGAGGCAGCAGGGUUGUUGCGGGUGUUGACCAUCCUAGGAGAAAACAAGACAAUGGUUUAGAUAAGGAUGGCUCAAACUUAGCAAGGAGUGCAGAAUGUAAUGGAUAACACAGAAUGCAGAGAUGUUCAUCCGUAUGUCAUGGUAAUAUAAAACUGCCAUAUAUAUACCAACGGUCAUACACAUCAUACAUAGUUUAGUACAAGCCCAGGCUACAGUACAACUAUGAUGAAAGACAUUACAUCUCAUCGGAGGCAUUCCAAGCUCCUAUACAUUAUUUGUCUACACCUCCGGAAUUGACUACACGCCAAGUCAUAUUCCACAAGUCACGCAGGAUAGUGGAGAUACAACUAUUACAAUACUAGUGGUACUACUACUAACUCAGACAGCUCCGUAGUAGUCCUCAUAGAAGUCUCCUCCAUAGCCUGGAAGUUCAACAUGACCAUCCGGGAAUAGACGGUCCUGAGGAGCCUGUGGACCAUAGGGACUAGGAUGAGGUCUUGGACCAACAAACGGUGGCCUGCGGGGACCACGGGGUGGGGUAAUGCCUCCCACAUCACGCCAAUCCACCAUGUCUGGCAGAGCUGAUCACACAGGAUACAGAUCCCUUGUAUCCAUACAUCCAGCUUGCACCGCAGGUGCAAACUGAGUCAAUGUGGCCCAAUGAUCAGCAUGGGUAUUGAAAAGCUCCAGCCUCAAGGCCCGAUUCUCUCGGUCCUUAUCUUCGAGCAUCUCGGCAGUGGUGCGAGUUAAUGAGUCCUCCUGAGUGGAGUUAGCAUAGACAGCCUAAAGAUACCCUUGCGCUCCUGGAAGUGAAGCUGGCAUGUAACGGAAGUCGGUGUUCCGAAGCAGGCCAGUCCGGACUCGCAUGAUGGUCAUCAUGGAAUAGGCAGCAUCCUGCACAGCCAUCUCAACAGUAACCCCGAGUCCAUACGAACAGUGAAGGGGCUCGAUAGAUCCAGGAUAAGAAGGAAAUAUCCUAACGGUGCAGAAAUAUUGGCUUUGAUUGAAGUCUCGGAAUUGCUCUUCGACGGUGUAUUCGGGAUACCAACGGUAACCCGUCUCGAUCAUUACCCCGACUAACAUAGCAGUAUGACCGGGCACGUCGAGGCACCGGGUCAGGCGAACCACUUGGUUUUGAACACGGUUGGCCAUCUGAAAGCACAACCACAAUGCAAAGACAUCAGAAUUUCUAGGGAAAAUUGGACAGCAUAACAGCUGUAAAUGCUCAGAAAAAGAUUUGAGACAUCCACAACAGUUCGCAAUACCACUCAACAUCAUCAUACCAAGGUUCUGAUCCAAUUAGCAACAUACUAAGAAUAGUAGAAACUGAACUGGGACUUGUAACAACAAUCCUAUAAGCUACUACGGAUUAGUAACACGUGAACCUGAUAGAAGAAGAGAGCCUAGUCCUUAACCCACGUUGAAUGAGAAGAGAAUGACUCAGAUCAGAGACAUAGGGUAAAGGAGUAAAAGAGCCUUACGUUCCCUCCCACAAUCAAUUCCCCUACAUAUAACUAAAGCAUUUCUAGACUCGACAUCGACCAGUUUGGCUCAACGAACCUACAGGCAGUCCGGCUCUGAUACCAACGCUGUCAGGACCCCGAUUCCAAGUCACAUCGAUCUAGCCGGUAACACCUCAUAUCACUUUGCUGCCUCACGCACGGUAUCCCACGGGUGUCGCCUUACCAUGGCCCGGGACCGUUUGCGCCUUUUGGCUCACGUAUAUGAUAGUGUCGCUAGCAUCCAUAUGACAGAGAACCCGGGCCGACAUGGCUAGUCAUGAACCCAAAGCGGCAUAGACCUAUGGAGACAGGCAUACAUGAAUCACAUCGAGCAUGUCGGUCAUCAGCGAGUGAUUCCAGGCUGUAGCACUGGGCUAACAGGACUCCGGGGGACCCGGGCUGUAGCAGGCUAGGCAGGACUCCGUAAGUCACCGCGUGACAUUUCCCCGAAGGGACAGACAUAGGAACAAAGUGAAACACAUGCCGGCCAGUCAAGUGUCCUGAACAGUAGUGCUGGGCUAGCAGGACUUCGAUGAACCGGGCUGUAGCGGACUACUAUGGCUCGAGGAAUACUAGACUACAUUUCCCCAUAAGAAAGGCUGCCAAGGAUAAACAACUAGAUUGUCGGAUCCCACUCAUACCAAGCAUUUCAAUCAUACACACAAUAUGCCCGAUAUGAGUACAUACAACAUGGCAUCACAACAAAACUCUACAAUUCAAGUACUUUAUUUAAAAGGCUCCAGGGAGCCAUACAUAACAUGUUCAUACAGAUAGGGGUCACAUGACCCGACACUCAAGUCAUACAAUCAUACAAGCACAUGCGGAAGCAACCGGUCUGAGUACAGACACUAGAAAGAAAGAAGGCUUCUCGAAGCCUGUCUAUCUACAUAGGGCCCUCCAUGGCCAGGAUCACCACCUCGGUGGCUAGUCACUCGUCGACGUCAAGGUCUACAUAAAACCCAUCGGAGGGGGCAGUGUUGUCGUCUGAAAACAAUAAAUAAGCAAACAUGAGUACAAGGUACUCAGCAAGUCUUACAUCAAAACCUAAUAUACAUGCUCAUUCUUAGAAGGUGGUGGGGUUAUUGCAGCAAGCCAGCUUUGACUCUUGGCUAAGCUAUCCUAUGGAACUUCACCAGUAAAAUAGUUUUCGCACACGAGUCCACUACUCACCAACACAAUACUCCACCGUGGAUCCUCCCUCGUCAUCCUACGAGAGGGCCAUCCUCGGUACUCACACUUAUCUUGAGUCUUUUAGUAGUAUCCAUUAACUUGUCUAUGAACUGUAUAGGCAACCAAGUAGUCCUUUACCGCGGACGCGGCUAUUCGAUUAGUUUUAUACCCUGCAGGGGUGUACUUCGUCAUACACACUUUCACCACUUACCGCCGUUUACACGACAUGUACUCGGCAACCUUCAAGCGGAAGCCCAGCGAGGGUGUCGGCCACGGCCUACCUAAACACUUAAGUCUCUAGUCCAGGUUUAUCGCCUAUCCAGGUUCCAUCCGCAGGGAGUCCGGCCGAGGUUUCCACAUACGGCCCCGAACGACGUGAACAGGUUCCCGAGACACCAAACGGGUGACUCGGUACACCGUGCCACGGUGUAUCUACCGCAACAUAGCCUACCCCUAGGGUCAGCGCUACGCACGGCCGCCAACACAUAACCUACAAACACCAGAAACUAUUUGCAACUCCUGGACAGAGUACUAGGGUGAUUAAGAAGCCGAGAGGGUCAAUUAAGGAUCCCAAUGCAUGGUAGUAGCUGAAUCUUAAAUCACACAUACAGAUCUCAGUUCUUAGGGACGAUCUCAAUGAAACAACCCACCAUGUACUCCUACAUGGCCUCUCAUCGAUACCUUUGCCAAAACAUGUUCAACACAUCCCUCAUAUUACCGACAUAAGCAUUUCACUCUAGCCCAUCACCCAGAUGAACCAGACCUGACACAACUCUAAGCAUAGCAGGCAUAGCAAGGUAGGAAUCACAUACAUGGCUCAAUCAACUCCUACACAUGCUAGUGGGUUUCAUCUAGUUACUGUGGCAAUGACAGGUCAUGCAGAGGAUAAGGGUUCAACUACCGUAGCACACAGCAGUUUGAAUCGCGUUGUCUUAAUGCAAUAAACAAGAGCAGAAGCGAGAACAUGGGUUUGUAUCGGAAUGAUCAAUGGGUUGCUUGCUUGAUGGAGUGGUAGUGGGAUACUGCCCUUCAGUUGGAUACUCAUGAAUAUCCUCGGAGGCAGAACCUGCCACGAAGAACACAUCGGAACACAAUCAACACAUGACGAUGUGCAACAAUAUGAUGCAUGCUAUGACAUGGCAAUAUGAAUGUGUCUUGGCCUAAUGCAAGCUAUAACAGAAAGGAAUGUGCUUAUUUGAAUCAAAGAUUCAAUUAUUAGCUUAUUAAACAUGGCUUUAAUAGUGCAUUUCCUUAUUCUGCUUAAACAGCAAGGUAAACUUGUUUUGUCAUGCAUGAAACCAUUACAGAUGGAUAGAUUGAAUUUUUCUGAUCAUUUUUCAUAUAUAAAUCUUUGCAUUUGGAGCUAUGGUUGAUUUUCUAUGAUUUUUAGAAGUUUUGACUAUUUUCUGGAAUUUCCUGAAUAAAAGUAAAUCCAGAAAAUGCAUUACUGCGUCAGCAUUGCGUCAUGCUGACCUCAGCAGGUCAAAGGCGCCAGCCCAGGUCAAACCUGACUGGUGGGCCCCUUCUGUCAGCCUCUCAGCUAAUUAACAAGAUUAGAUUAACACUAAUUAGCUGUCAGUGGGGCCUGGGCCCACAUGUCAGUGACUGGUUUAAUUAAAAUUAGUUAAAACUAAUCCUAGAUUAGUUAGCAGACCGGCCCCACCUGUCAUAGACUCAGGGGGGUCUACCUGGGCCCACCCAGGAGUCAAACUGGGUCAAACUCGCCGGCGACUCGACGCUGGCGAGGCCCGAGACGGUGGUGUGGCUCGGAAAACGCCCACAAGGCACGGGCGAGGCUGUUCUUGGGCGUGUUGGAGAGCUCUUGUAGUCGCGCAUCUAGUGGUGGUGGAGGCCGGGCCUACGGUGGCCGGAGACGACGACGGCGAGCUUCAAGGCGGCGGCCGGAGUUCGACCAUGUGCGGGGUGUGGGCUGCGGCAUGCAAACGCAAAAACUAAGGCGCUAGCGAGGCACUACGCGAUGCGGCAAGCAUGUUGCAUAGCACGGGAGGACCAAAUGGUCACCGGAGCGACGCCGACGACAAGCUCGAGCGGAGAUGAGCUUCGGCCAUGGUGGAACUAUGGCCUAGAGGGUGCAAAUGCGUGGGAAAGAAGAUGGGAAAGGCGGCGGAGCUCACAGGGAGGUCGAUGAGCAGCUCAGUGGGCUCGGGGGCGACCGGAGCGAGGCGAAUCGAUUAAAGGUGUCCGACGGGUACCGAGGUUGAAGACGGCCCGAUGGCGGUGAUGCAGGGCCUCCGGCGAAGCGUGGAUCGGUGGGGAGGGCGAGGGCGUCGCGGCGGAGCUUCUGGACAUGUUAGAGAGGCGAGGGGGUGACGGAGGGCGCGACUACGGCGGUGAGACGGCGACAGGUGCGUCGGCCAUGGUGCGGGAGAGGGUGAGGGAGACGAGAGGAGAGUGAGCGAGGAUGAGAGGGGGACAUGGGGGUCGCGUGGCAUCCCUGGACGUCUCCGGGACGUCGGCAGAAGCAGGAGGUGGCCGGCGUGUGGCCGCGGGCGCCGGCCACGCGCUUCGCGUCCUCCUGGCGGGAGGUGGACGACGACUGGCAAGCCAGUCGGCUGGGCCAAGCCAGGUGGCUGGGCCAGCACAGGUAAGGCCCAGGUGGGCUCCCUCUCUCUCUUUUUUGAUUUGUUUCUAUUUUUUCUAUUUAACUGCAACUGUUGGGCUUUAAUUAAAAUACUAAAACGUUUCCAAAAAUCCUGAAAAUAAUUGUGGGCUCUGUUUAGAAUAUUUCCAACAGCAAACAUUUAUUUCCAGAAUUAUUUGAGCAUUUAAAUUAUUUUAUAGCAUUUAAAUGCCCAAAUUCAAAUACUUAUGAUUUAAUUCAAUGACCUUCUGUUGACCUAGAAAAUUGUGCACCAAUUUUGCCAGAGGUUCUAACCCAAGACAAAGAGGGUGAACUUUUUAGAAGGGCAUUUCAGGUUCAUUGAAAAUAAUUUUAGUAAACCCUAGUUGUUUCCAGGGGGUGUUGGGGAUUUCUGCCUUCCCCAUUUCAAAUUUAAGAGAAAUUUAAACAUGAUGCACACUGUAAUGCUUGAACUAGCUAGGGUGUGACACCCCCGGACCCCUCCGGUGGUCCUGGUACACUAUCGCUGAUGCCCGGGACACUUCCGGUGGCCAAAACCAUACUUCCUAUAUAUCAAUCUUUACCUCCGGACCAUUCCGGAACUCCUCGUGACGUCCGGGAUCUCAUCCGGGACUCCGAACAACAUUCGGUAACCGCGUACAUACUUUCCCUAUAACCCUAGCAUCAUCGAACCUUAAGCGUGUAGACCCUACGGGUUCGGGAGUCAUGCAGACAUGGCCGAGACAACUCUCCGGUCAAUAACCAAUAGCGGGAUCUGGAUACCCAUGUUGGCUCCCACAUGCUCCAUGAUGAUCUCAUCGGAUGAACCACGAUGCCAAGGAUUCAAUCAAUCCCGUAUACAAUUCCCUUUGUCUAUCAGUACGAUACUUGCCCGAGAUUCGAUCGUCGGUAUCCCGAUACCUUGUUCAAUCUCGUUACCGGCAAGUCUCUUUACUCGUUCCGUACCACAUCAUCCCGUGAUCAACUCCUUGAUCACAUUGUGCACAUUAUGAUGAUGUCCUACCGAGUGGGCCCAGAGAUACCUCUCCGUUUACACGGAGUGACAAAUCCCAGUCUCGAUUCGUGCCAACCCAACAGACACUUUCAGAGAUACCCGUAGUGCACCUUUAUAGCCACCCAGUUACGUUGUGACGUUUGGCACACCCAAAGCACUCCUACGGUAUCCGGGAGUUGCACAAUCUCAUGGUCUAAGGAAAUGAUACUUGACAUUAGAAAAGCUUUAGCAUACGAACUACACGAUCUUGUGCUAGGCUUAGGAUUGGGUCUUGUCCAUCACAUCAUUCUCCUAAUGAUGUGAUCCCGUUAUCAACGACAUCCAAUGUCCAUGGUCAGGAAACCAUAACCAUCUAUUGAUCAACGAGCUAGUCAACUAGAGGCUUACUAGGGACAUGGUGUUGUCUAUGUAUCCACACAUGUAUCUGAGUUUCCUAUCAAUACAAUUCUAGCAUGGAUAAUAAACGAUUAUCAUGAACAAUGAAAUAUAAUAUAAUAAUAACUAAUUUAUUAUUGCCUCUAGGGAAUAUUUCCAACAGUCUCCCACUUGCACUAGAGUCAAUAAUCUAGUUCACAUCGCCAUGUGAUUAACACUCACAGGUCACAUCGCCAUGUGACCAACAUCCAAAGAGUUUACUAGAGUCAGUAAUCUAGUUCACAUCACUAUGUGAUUAACACUCAAUGAGUUCUGGGUUUGAUCAUGUUAUGCUUGUGAGAGAGGUUGUAGUCAACGGGUCUGCAAUAUUCAGAUCCCUAUGUAUUUCGCAAAACUUUAUGUCAUAUCGUAGAUGCUGCUACCACGUUCCACUUGGAGCUAUUCCAAAUUGUUGCUCCAUUAUACGUAUCUGGUAUCUCUACUCAGAGCUAUCUGGAUAGGUGUUAAGCUUGCAUCGACGUAACUCUUUACGUCGAACUCUUUAUCACCUCCAUAACCGAGAAACAUUUCCUUAUCCCUCUAAGGAUAAUUUUGACCGCUAUCUGGUGAUCCACUCCUAGAUCACCUUUGUACCCUCUUGCCAGACAUGUGGCAAGGCACACAUCUAGUGCGGUACUCAGCAUGGCAUACCGUAUAGAGCCUAUGACAAAAGCAUAGGGGACGACCUUCGUCCUUCCUCUUUCUUCUGUCGUGGUCAAUCUUCGAGUCUUACUCAACUUCACACCUUACAACUCAGGUAAGAACCCCUUCUUUGACUAAUCUAUUUUGAACUCCUUCAAAAACAUGUCAAGGUGUGUGUUCUUUGAAAGUAUCAUCAGGCAUUUUGAUCUAUCUCUAUAGAUCUUGAUGCCCAAUAUGUAAGCAGCUUUAUCCAGGUCUUCCUUUGAAAAUCACUCUUCAAACAACCGUUUAUGCUUUCCAGAAAUUCUACAUUAUUUCGAAUCAACAAUAUGUCAUCCACAUAUACUUAUCAAAAAUGUUGUAGUGCUCCCACUCACUUCCUUGUAAAUACAAGUUUCUAGCAAACAUUGUAUAAACCUAAAAGCUUUGAUCACUCCAUCAAAGCAUAUAUUCCGACUCUGAGAUGCUUGCUCUAGUCCAUAGAAGGAUUGCUGGAGCCAGCAUACCUUUUAGCAUCCUUAGGAUCUACAAAACCUUUUAUUGUAUCACAUACAACUUUUUCUUACGAAAACUGGUAAGAAAAUUUGUUUUGACAUCCAUCUGUCAGAUACAGCUAAUGCUAACAUGAUUCCGACGGACUUAAACAUUGCUACAGGUGAGAAAAUCUCAUCGUGGUCAACUCCUUGAACUUGUGAAAAGACUCUUUGCCACAAGUCGAGCUUCAUAGACGGUAACAUUACCGUCCACGUCCGUCUUCUUCUUAAAGAUCCAUUUAUCUCAAUGACUUGCCGAUCAUUGGGCAAGUCCACCAAAGUCCAUGCUUUGUUCUGAUACAUGGAUCCUAUCUCGGAUUUCAUGGCUUCUAACCAUUUGUCGGAAUACGGGCCCACCAUCGCUUCUCCAUAACUCAUAGGUUCAUUGUUGUCUAACAACAUGAUAUCUAAGACAGGAUUACCGUACCACUCAGGAGUAGUACAUAUCCUUGUCGACCUAUGAGGUUCGAUAGCAACUUGAUCCGAAGCUUCAUGAUCACUAUCAUUAACUUCCUCUUCAACAGACGUAGGCACCAUAGAAAACAUCUUUCUGUGUUGCAUCACUCUCUGGUUGAAAUAAAGGUUCGACAACCUCAUCAAGUUCUAUCUUCCUCCCACUCAAUUCUUUCGAGAGAAACUCCUUCUCGAGAAAGGACCCGUUCUUAGCGACAAACAAUUUGCCCUCGGAUCUGAGAUAGAAGGUAUACCCAACUGUCACCUUUGGGUAUCCUAUGAAGAUGUGUUUGUCCGCUUUUGGGUUCGAGCUUCUCCGGCUGAAGCCUUAAGCAUCGCAGCCCCAAACAUUAAGAAAUGACAACUUUGGUGUCUUGCCAAACCAAUUUUCAUACGACGUCGUCUCUACGGAUUUAUAUGGUGUCCUAUGUAAAGUGAAUGCAACUAUCUCUAAUGCAUAACCUCAAAAUAAUAGCGGUAGAUCGCUAAGAGACAUCAUAGAUCGCACCAUAUCUCAUAAGGUUCGAUUAUGACGUCCGGACACACCAUUAAUCUAUGGUGUUCCAGGUGGCUUCAACCGCGAAACAAUUCCACAAUGUCUUAAGUGAUUGCCAAACUCAUAACUCAGAAAAUCCCCCUUUGAUCAGAUCGUAGGAAUAUGAUCUUCUUGUUGUGAUGAUUCUUAACUUCCCUCUGAAAUCGCUUGAACUUUUCAAACGUUUCAGGCUUGUGCUUCAUUAAGUAAAUAUACCUAUAUCUACUCAAAUCAUGAGUGAAGAUGAGAAAAUAGCGAUAUCCACCGCAUGCUCCAAUUCUCAUUGGAUCACACGCAUCAGCAUGUAUGAUUUCCAACAAGUCACUUGCCCGUUUCAUUGUACCUGAAAACGGGAUCUUAGUCAUCCUGCCCAUGAGGCAUGGCUCGCAUGUGUCAAGCAAUUCAAAAUCAAGUGACUCCAAACAUCCAUCGACAUGGAGUUUCUUCAUGCAUCUUACACCAAUAUGACCUAAGCGGCAGUGCUAGAAGAAAGUGGUACUAUCAUUAUUUACUCUACAUCUUUUGGCGUGAACAUGUGUAUUACCACGACCGAGAUUCAAUGAACCAUUCACAUAGGGUGCAUGACCAUGAAAGGUAUUAUUCAUGUAAACAGAAUAACCAUUAUUCUCUAACUUAAAUGAAUAACCGUAUUGCAAUGAACAUGAUCUAAUCAUAUUCAUGCUCAACGUAGACACCUGAUAACAUUUAUCUAGGUUCAAUACUAAUCCCAAAGGCAGAUGGAGCAUGCGAUGGUGAUCUCAUCAACUUUGGAAACACUUCCAACACACAUCGUCACCUCAUCCUUAGCCAGUCUCCGUUUAGUCCGUAGCUUUUCCUUCAAGUCACCAAUAAUAGCAACUGAACCGGUAUCCAAUACCCAGGUGCUACCAGGAGUACUAGUGAGGUACACAUUAAUAACAUGUAUAAACUUUGUUGAAGUUGCUAGCCUUCUUAUCUACCAUGCAUUUGGGGUAAUUCCGCUACCAGUGACCGUUCCCCUUACAAUAGAAGCACUUAGUCUCGGGGUUGGGUUCAACCUUGGGUUCCUUCACUGGAGCGGCAACUGGUUUGCCAUCCAUGAAGUUUCCCUUCUAGCCCUUGCCCUUCUUGAAACCAGUGGUCUUGUUAAACCAUCAACACUUGAUGCUCCUUCUUGAUUUCUACCUUUUGCAGUCUUAAGCACCGCGAACAGCUCCGGGAUCAACUCCAUCCCUUGCAUGUCAUAGUUCAUCACGAAGAUCUAGUAGCUUAGUGAUAGUGGCUAGAGAACUCUAUCAAUCACUAUCUUAUCUGGAAGUUUAACUCCCACUUGAUUUAAGUGGUUGUAGCACCCAGACAUUCUGAGCACAUGCUCACUAGCUGAGCUAUUAUCCUCCAUCUUGUUGGCAAAAGAACUUGUCAGAGGUCUCAUACCUCUCAACACGGGCAUGAGCCUGAAAUCCCAAUUUCAGCUCUUGGAACAUCUCAUAUGUCUUAUGGCGUUCAAAACGUCAUUGGAAUCCCAAUUCUAAGCCGUAAAGUAUGGUGCACUAAACUAUCAAGUAGUCAUCAGGAUGUGUCUGUCAGGUGUUCACAACAUCCAUAGACGAUGUUGUAGGGGUUUGCACAUCGAGCGGUGCAUCAAAGACGUAAGCCUUCUAUCUAGCAGUGAGGACACUCCUCGGACUACGGACCCAGUCCGCAUCAUUGCUUACAAUAUCCUUCAACUUGGUCUUUCUCUAGGAACGUAUUGAAACAGGGAGCUACAACGUGAGCUAUUUAUCUACAACAUAUUUGCAAAGACAAUUUAGACUAUGUUCAUGAUAAUUAAGUUCAUCUAAUCAAAUUAUUUAAUGAACUCCCACUCAGAUAGACAUCCCUCUAGUCAUCUAAGUGAAACAUGAUCCGAGUCAACUAGGUCGUGUCCGAUCAUCAUGUGAGACGGACUAGUCAACAUCGGUGAACAUCUUCAUGUUGAUCGUAUCUUCUAUACGACUCAUGCUCGACCUUUUGGUCUUCCGUGUUUCGAGGCCAUGUCUGUACAUGCUAGGCUCGUCAAGUCAACCUAAGUGUAUUGCGUGUGUAAAUCUGGCUUACACCCGUUGUAUUCGAACGUUAGAAUCUAUCACACCUGAUCAUCACGUGGUACUUCGAAACAACGAACCUUCGCAACGGUGCAUAGUUAGGGGGAACACUUUCUUGAAAUUAUUACGAGGGAUCAUCUUAUUUAAGCUACCGUCGUUCUAAGCAAAUAAGAUGUAAAACAUGAUAAACAUCACAUGCAAUCAAAUAGUGACAUGAUAUGGCCAAUAUUAUUUGCUCCUUUUGAUCUCCAUCUUCGGGGCUCCAUGAUCAUCGUUGUCACCGGCAUGACACCAUGAUCUCCAUCAUCGUGUCUUCUUGAAGUUGUCUUGUCAUCUAUUACUUCUACUACUAUGGCUAACGCUUUAGCAAUAAAGUAAAGUAAUUACAUGACGUUUAUGUUGACACGCAGGUCAUAAAUAAAUUAAGACAACUCCUAUGGCUCCUGCCGGUUGUCAUACUCAUCGACAUGCAAGUCGUGAUUCCUAUUACAAGAACAUGAUCAAUCUCAUACAUCACAUAUAUCAUUCAUCACAUCCUUUUGGCCAUAUCACAUCACACGACAUCUGCUGCAAAAAGAAGUUAGACGUCCUCUAAUUAUUGUUGCAAGUUUUUACGUGGCUGCUAUAGGUUUCUAGAAAGAACGUUUCUUACCUAUGCCAAAACCACAAUGUGAUAUGCCAAUUUCUAUUUACCCUUCAUAAGGACCCUUUUCAUCGAAUCCGAUCCGACUAAAGUGGGAGAGACAGACACCCGCUAGCCACCUUAUGCAACUAGUGCAUGUCAGUUGGUGGAACCAGUCUCACGUAAGCGUACGUGUAAGGUCGGUCCGGGCCGCUUCAUCCCACGAUGCCGCCGAAUCAAGAUAAGACUAGUAACGGCAAGUAAAUUGACAAAAUCGACGCCCACAACAACUUGUGUUCUACUCGUGCAUAGAAACUACGCAUAGACCUAGCUCAUGAUGCCACUGUUGGGGAUUGUAGCAGAAAUUUAAAAUUUUCUAUGCAUCACCAAGAUCAAUCUAUGGAGUAAUCUAGCAACGAGGGGAAGGGGAGUGCAUCUACAUACCCUUGUAGAUGCAAGAACGCGGAUGAAGGAGUCGUACUCGUAGCGAUUCAGAUCGCGGUUGAUUCCGAUCUAAGCGCCGAACAACGGUGCCUCCGCGUUCAACACACAUGCAGCUCGGUGACCUCUCCUACGCCUUGAUCCAGCAAGGGGAGAAGGAGAGGUUGGGAAGACUCCAUCCAGCAGCAGCACGACGGCGUGGUGGUGGUGGAGGAGCGCGGAACUCCAGCACGGCUUCGCCAAGCACUACGAGAGACGAGGAGGGAGAGAGGUAGGGCUGCGCCAACAGGGGAAGAACUUCGUGUGUUGGGCUGCCCCUUUGCCUCCACUAUAUAUAGGGGGAGAGGGAGGGCUGCGCCCCCACCUAGGGUUUCCACCCUAGGGGUGGCGGCAGCCCCAAUCCCCAUCUGGGGUGGCGGCCAAGUGGGGGGGAGAGGGAGGCGCACCAGGCAUGGGCCUUAGGGCCCAUAUGCCCUUAGGGUUUGCCCCCCUCUUCUCUCUAGGCGCAUGGGCCUUGGUGGGGAGGCGCCCCAGCCCACCUAGGGGCUGGUACCUUCUCACACUUGGCCCAUGUAUGCCUCCGGGGCCCGUGGCCCCUCCCGGUGGACCCCCGGACCCCUUCGGUGGUCCCGGUACACUACCGGUGAUGCCCGGAACACUUCCGGUGGCCAAAACCAUACUUCCUAUAUAUCAAUCUUUACCUCCAGACCAUUCCGGAACUGCUCGUGACGUCCGGGAUCUCAUCCGGGACUCCGAACAACAUUCGGUAACCGCGUACAUACUUUCCCUAUAACCCUAGCGUCAUCGAACCUUAAGUGUGUAGACCCUACGGGUUCGGGAGUCAUGCAGACAUGGCCGAGACAACUCUCCGGUCAAUAACCAACAGCGGGAUCUAGAUACCCAUGUUGGCUCCCAUAUGCUCCACGAUGAUCUCAUCGGAUGAACCACGAUGUCAAGGAUUCAAUCAAUCCCGUAUACAAUUCCCUUUGUCUAUCGGUACAAUACUUGCCCGAGAUUCGAUCAUCGGUAUCCCGAUACCUUGUUCAAUCUCGUUACUGGCAAGUCUCUUUACUCGUCCGUAACACAUCAUCCCGUGAUCAACUCCUUGAUCACAUUGUGCACAUUAUGAUGAUGUCCUACCGAGUGGGCCCAGAGAUACCUCUCCGUUUACACAGAGUGACAAAUCCCAGUCUCGAUUCGUGCCAACCCAACAGACACUUUCAGAGAUACCGUAGUGCACCUUUAUAGCCACCCAGUUAUGUUGUGACAUUUGGCACACCCAAAGCACUCCUACGGUAUCCGGGAGUUGCACAAUCUCAUGGUCUAAGGAAAUGAUACUUGACAUUAGAAAAGCUUUAGCAUACAAAUUACAUGAUCUUGUGCUAGGCUUAGGAUUGGGUCUUGUCCAUCACAUCAUUCUCCUAAUGAUGUGAUCCCGUUAUCAAUGACAUCCAAUGUCCAUGGUCAGGAAACCGUAACCAUCUAUUGAUCAACGAGCUAGUCAACUAGAGGCUUACUAGGGACAUGGUGUUGUCUACUUAUCCACACAUGUAUCUGAGUUUCCUAUCAAUACAAUUCUAGCAUGGAUAAUAAACGAUUAUCAUGAACAAUGAAAUAUAAUAUAAUAAUAACUAAUUUAUUAUUGCCUCUAGGGCAUAUUUCCAACACUGUCUUCCCGUAACUUUUUGAUGUUCUCCUCUGUGACGGAGGAGACCAUCCAGUUGCCUCCUGCUCCGGACAUGCUUGGAGUGGUUUGAGAAGAAGAACGUGAGCUUGGGCGCUAGAGUUCGGGUGUGCAGGAAUGGGUAAGCAAGGAGGAAGAAGGCGUGGGUGAAAAGAGUAAAUCCUUGUCCCUUUAUAAGGGCGGAAGAGGCGAUGCGUCUCCCCACUUGUCUGCUAAAACUGCUUAUUCCCCAGGCACCAUAAUUGAUGGCACGGAUGGGUUACCCACGUCCGUAUUGAUGAGAAUCCUGUAAUAAGGGGGACACGAUCUCUGCCUUGACAAGACGUGACAGAAAAACCGCCUCGCAAUAUGCGCAUCACUGGUUGAGAAAAACGGUUCAGAUAAGGACCGGGCCAUGACGUGAUGUUGUGCCGCCAAAACGUGCCAGCAGAUUAGAUUUAUGGAAAUAUUAUUCUCUCUACGGUGGGGUGUGGAACUUGUUUUGCAGAACCGGACACUAUCCUUGUGUUCAAAAAUCUUCCAUGAAGUAUUUGGAUAAGAACCCGCCUUGCAAUGCCGAAGACAAUACUGCGCGCCGGACUCAUCGCCAUUGAAGCCUGGUUCAGGGGCUACUGAGGGAGUCCUGGAUUAGGGGGUCUCCGGACAGCCGGACUAUAUCUUUUGGCCGGACUGUUGGACUAUGAAGAUACAAGAUUGAAGACUUCGUCCCGUGUCCGGAUGGGACUCUCCUUGGCGUGGAAGGCAAGCUAGGCAAUACAGAUAUGUAGAUCUCCUCCCUUGUAACCGACCUUGUGUAACCCUAGCCCCCUCCGGUGUCUAUAUAAACCGGAGGGUUUAGUCCGUAGGACAAUAUAAAAUCAUACCAUAGGCUAGCUUCUAGGGUUUAGCCUCUAUGAUCUCGUGGUAGAUCAACUCUUGUAAUACUCAUAUCAUCAAGAACAAUCAAGCAGGACGUAGGGUAUUACCUCCAUCAAGAGGGCCCGAACCUGGGUAAACAUCGUGUCCCCUGCCUCCUGUUACUAUCCGCCUUAGACACACAGUUCGGGACCCCCUACCCAAGAUCCGCUGGUUUUGACACCGACAACAGCCUUUAUCACUUCCUUUGGAGCCUUUUGUUAUGUAUCUAUGCCUUUUGGGCUCAAGAGUGCCCAGGCGACAUACCAGCGGUAUGUGCAGAAUUGUCUUCAUGAUCACAUUGGGCGCAAUGUUCAUGCCUAUGUGGAUGAUAUUGUGGUGAAAUCCAGGAAGAAGGAAACCUUGAUAGACGAUUUAAAGGAAACCUUUGACAAUCUCCGGAUUUAUAAGAUGAUGCUUAACCCGGCCAAGUGCAUUUUUGGUGUGCCAACAAACAAGCUAUUGGGAUUUCUGGUUUCAGAACGGGGUAUUGAAGCUAACCCGGAGAAGAUAAAAGCUAUCACCUCUCUGGCUAAGCCGGCGUGUAUCAAUGAUGUUCAGCGUUUGGCGGGUCAUAUUGCGCCUUAAGCCGGUUCAUAAGCCGGUUGGGUGAGAAGGCUAUCCCUCUGUACCAGAUGAUGAAGAAGACAUAUCACUUUGUCUGGAGUGAUGCUGCUGAUCAGGCAUUUGAGGCCUUGAAGAAACAAUUGGCUAAGCUUCCAGUUCUUGUUGCUCCCAUUGAUAAGGAGCCUUCGCUGUUAUAUGUGGCUGCCAAUAGCAAAGCUGUUAGUGUAGCCAUUGUGGUGGAAAGGAAGGAAUCAUGCAAGGAUCAUCCGGUUCAGCGACCGGUUUACUACAUCAGUGAGGUGCUUAUUGAGUCCAAGCAGAGGUACCCACAUUGGCAGAAGCUUGUGUGUGGGGUGUUCAUGGCUAGUCGAAAACUCCAGCAAUAUUUUAUGGGUCAUCCUAUCACUGUGGUUAGUUCUGCUCCUUUAGGGGAUAUUAUUCAGAACAGGGAAGCCAUAGGUCAGGUAGCCAAGUGGGACAUUAAGCUUGGACCUCAUGGUUUGAAGUAUAUGCCUCGAACAACCAUUAAGUCUCAAGCACUUGUGGAUUUCAUAAAUGAUUGGACAGAGUUGCAGAUGCCUGAAGAGAAGCCGAAUGUUCGUACACGAACAUGUCACCGUGUACCUCCAACACCAAGGGUGAUGCACCGCAGCUCACGUCGAAGGAGACCCGUCCGGAAGUGCGGUACGCAAGCAAUCCGGCAGGUGCUUUUGAGGACCCGAAACCCCACACACCCGGGAGGGACCCCAUCAGGGCUUGCGGCGGCUAUGGACUGCCCUAGGUCGACCGGAUCGCCCCUAGGGCCUCGAGGUGCGCCGCCCUGCUAACGAAGAACGAACGAAGAACGAGGUAGAAGAAGAACAAGGGAGAGAGAUAAAGGUAAAGGUAAAAAGAUGAUAUAUUGAUAGAUCGAUUGUGUGUUGUUUCAAUCGGCCGUCACCCCCAACAUAUAUAAGAGGUGGCUGGACUUCCCGUACAAGCAAAGGAUUUAUCUAGGCUUUCCUUACAAGAAAAUUACAUCAAUUCACGUCCAAAACCCUAGUCAAAUUCGGACUGAUUUUAUCUGAACUUUCCAAAACUGUUUGGUUUAAACUGGCUGCACCUUGCGGGUCUUUUUUGCGGUGGUAAAUGAUCUCGGAUGAAAACAAGCCCAAAAGCAGUCUUGACCGUUUCGACGAGACGAACAACUUUCAUGUUGAAGGUUUUUUGAUCAGAGAUCAUAUUGAGGGUCAGAUCGGUCUCGCAACACAUGCUAUUCCCUCGCGCUACCCGUCAGACAUGUGUCUGCUGGGGCGCGCCACGUCUCGCCUCGUGACAGGGCUGCACUCCGAUUGCUCUAAAUUUUGCAUACAAACUCGGAUUUGAACGAUUUAUAUAUCAAAAUCGAUCGUUUCGACGAGACGAAGACAACUCGUGUAGAUCAUGUUUUCAUUUGAGGUCGUCUUGGGGGCUUAUUCGGCUAAACUGUACUUUGAAUAUAAGAUCUUAGUACUUUGAGCAUAGUUUCGGCCUUCGAGAUGAAAUCGGACGGCGAUGACCCAAAUUUCAAAGAUGUUCAUAUCAAUAAUACAGAACUCUUUCAUGUAGAUCACUUCUCCAUUUGAGGCCAUCUUAAUUAUGUUUUUGACCAUGCCAAAAACUGGUGUCAACACAUGCCCCCCCUGUUUUUCGGCAAAACUUGUGAGACGAAAAAUAAUUUGCACGAAGUUUUGGUAAGCACAAUGUCAACACUCCAUCGGCCAUUUGUACAUACUUAGGACGAUAGCUAUAUAUCAGCCAUUUAGAUUAGCAACAAAAGUGAAGCUAAUUGAACAUAUGAUGAUUUGGUAAUACCCUUUCAUGAUGUAAGAAAUUAUAUUGCAUCCAUGGAUUAAAAUAAGCCCACUGAGGGUAACCAAUCAUACCUGAUGACGAAUUCCAUGGCAUAGGCAUCAAUGGCAUAGUUGAAGAAUAUGGAUAAUGUAUAGACCGAAGAUGUUGAAACCUUCGGCUUGGUCCUUCAUAGUUUUCACUAUUUUCCUUCUUCACCUUUGCCGCACUUCUUGUAAAGGAAGCUCGCACAUAAUUCUUAUUUUGAAUACUUCCUUUUGGAACCCAUGCCAUGUUUCUCUUUUCAAGUUCUUGUGCACUAAACUUUUACAACUUCUUCUUUUGCCAAUACGAUAAGCCGAGUGGGUACCCCGGCUGCGAUUUUGUUUGAAGUAAUGGCAAUUCUUGUUUUACCUUGUGCACUCUCUUCUUCCCUUUAGAUUUGGCACUUGAUUGGCUUGCUUCAUUGCCUUUUAUAGCCAAUGUAAAUAAUUUAAUUGAAUCUUUAUCAUUUGAGAUCAUAGCUGAAGUGGCACUCUUACGACCAUCUCUUUUGACACGGUAGACUUGCUCAACCACCUCCUUAUUCUUCCUUGUGUUUCAGACCGAUUCUUUUUUAUUGAAACGGUCUUGAACAUAUGACUGCUCAUUGAAUGUUGGUCUUCUUGUAGUUGCAUAAUAUUGGCGAGAUGGUUUAUAAUAAUAUGGAGAAUGUGCCCUUGUAUUAUACUUGUCCCAUGAUGGAUAUGGAUUUGUGUGAGCAUAGGGAGGCAUCCACGACAUUGGCAUUGACGGUCCAAAAUAAGGAUAUGAAUAAGUUUCAUUCAAAUUCUCUUCUUGCCAAUAUCGAUCCUUGGAUUUGCACCUAGGGGGUGAUCUUGAUGCUUUUGCAUUAGUUGGCCGAUAAGCACUGCUCUCCUCACUUAUCUUCUGAUAUUUUUUCAAAAGUUGCGCGAAAGUGACUUUCGGCUUUUUACCUUUGUGCUUACAUCGGCUUUUGUUUUCUUUGGCUGUGCUUGCAUCGAUCUUUGGAUUUUCUUGUUGCCCCCCCAGUCCUUGGCGUCUCCAUUGUAGCUUCGAUGAAAUUUUCGCCCUCAAGAUUAUGUUCAUUAUGCUCUUCAACAAUUUCUUUACUUGAAAGCUUAAUCCCAUCACCUGCAGUUUUUACCUUCUCUUUAAAUGGAUCGGCUUGAAGUAGCCGAUGCAAAAAAUUUCUGCCAUCGGGACUAAUCGGAAUAGACUGGUGAUCUCUUGGUGUCUCAACAAAUUUCAAUCGUCCUUUAUCAAUGGCCGAUUUAACUAUUUGACGAAACAUGUUGCAAUCCUCAAAAUUAUGCUUGGAUGAAUCAUGCAACUUACAAUACAUUCGUCCUUGGACAGAUGGGUCAACAUGGUGAUCAAGAAUUCUAAUAUAAUUAUUUCUCAACAACAAAUUAAAUAUUUGAUCACACAUGCUUGAAUUGAAGGUAAAAUUGUUAUUCUCUAUCCGAUCUUGUUGUGAGAACGACUUUGGAGUUAAGCAAACGAAUGGUUCAGAUUUUGCAUCACCCCAUACGGCUAUGCAUUGUGUUUUGCACUCUAUCUCCGAUGUCUUUGGAUAAGAAACUAUACUGGCGUUGGUUUGCUCAGAGGAUUUUAACCUUAGCUUUAAAUUUCUGAAACGAAAAUAUUUAGAACAUACAUGUCUCAGUUGAGACCAAGUGUAAGCCAAGUAAGAAAUAAGCAAAGCUACCCAAUUAGAUAUGAAUUUUAAAUAAAGCAAUGGGAAAAGCUUUGGCUGCAGUAAUAAGUCACUAUCGGUCUCUUUGAAUGGUACAAUAUAUUGACCGAUAUGCUUAGUAAAAUUUUUAUUGCUAACAAGUAAAUUUCCCUUCUUCAUUGGUCUUUGAAAAUUAAUUAUUAGAAUUUUUCUAAUAGAUGCAUCAACAAUAAAGUUGUGACCAAAUCUGAAAGUAGGUAAAUUACUUGCUAGACAUACCUCUUCGAAUAUGUUAGGAGAGUAUGAUGAUUGCAUAUGAUGAAUAAUAUUGUGCUUUGCUUCUAGAUGACUUCCCAACACAAUGUCACAAUUUUCUUCUUUAUUUCGUGCAUCAUAAAUUUGAAGAUCUUCGUCAACCGAACUUUGUUCGGCUACUUGCUCUUGUCCUUGAAGCUUGUCAAUUUCUAUGGCACGAAACUCAUAGGGCAGGAAGUAGGUUCCAUUAAAUUCAGAAAAAUCAAACAUGGAUGUCUUGCUAUGCUUGCCAUGCCCUUUCUCAAUAAUGCUUGCCUCUUUGGAUUUGAUGGAUUCGGAAUAUAUACUACUUGAUUCGGCUUUUUCAACUGAAGCACUUUUAGUUUCCGAAUCAUCAUUCUUUUUUCCGGUUAUAUCAAUUGGCAAGGCUUCUUUUCUUUGAGCCAAUUCCCUAUCAAUUCUCUCUUGGCGAGGUACCUGCACCCUAUCGCGCAAAGCUUUAACUCCCCUCUCAAUUCCAGCCUGCUCUAGAUUAGUUUGCCUCCCAAUGCUUUUAGAAUCUUUCAGCAAUGAAGUGUUAGUGUUGCCGAAAUUUUGCAAUUGUGUAGGGGAUGUAUAAUAUGCUGCGGUACUAGGUGGAGGUGUAUGCACUGCUGUAUAACCAUAUGCUCUUUCGCCAAUUCUAUCAAUGCAUGUAGUUUCAUCUUCUUGCAAAACUCUAGCCUUUAUUGCAGCAUAAUCAGGAAACAACCCAUUUUCAUAUUGUUCAAGGCAAAGAGCACUAAUUCUCUUGUUUUAUGCCAAGCUCCUUUUUAACGCAACCACAACCGCUUCUGGAAGGGAUUGCUCUACAAUACUUUCAGAUUCUUUCGGCAACGAUUCAUGAGUGUUGCUGAAAUUCUCGAAUUGCAUAGAGUAUGCAUUAUAUGCUACAGUAUUUGAUGACGGCACAUGUGUUCCUGUAAAAUUUUCACUUAUUCGGCUAUGACCAUGAAGAUGCGGGGCCGAAUUAUGAACAUCUACAGUUGCAUAUGGUGCUAAAAAAUUACUAACAUCAGGUGUAGCAUAUGAUGGUUGAGAGUAACUGGCCGAAUAGCUAGUAGUAGCAUGGCUAAUUCUCCCAUCCAUCGGUAAGGUUGGAUUCACAUACUGCAAAUUAGUUGCUGAUGAAUAAAAAGGUGAAACACUUUCUUCUAUGGUAUUGGAAAUUUUAACAUGAGGUGUUUCAAAUUGAUUAACUGAACCCAUCAUGUUGUUCAUCGGCAUAUGGAUUUGUGGGGUUGCCGAUGCAUGAGAGUUAUGAUACAUAGGUUGUAUGUUACUAGUAUCAUAAGAAGUUGAAACAUAUAAAUUACUUUGAAUCGGCCUAUGCACGUAAUUAGAUGCAUUAUUGAAAAAACUAGGGCUGGCCGAUAGAGUAUAAUCAUUGAACGAUCUAGUAACAACAUAUGAAUUAUUUGCAUCUAUAGUAGGGAAUUGGGUAUUCAUAUUACCUUUGUAGAUUGCAAACCCUAGAUGACGAUCUUGUUGUAGCAAGAACGGGUCGGAGACCAUUCAAAGUUUCGUCCCCAGCGGAGUCGCCAAAACGUGUGUUCGCACACGAACACGUCACCGUGUACCUCCAACGCCAAGGGUGAUGCACCGCAGCUCACGUCGAAGGAGACCCGUCCGGAAGCGCGGUACGCAAGCAAUCCGGCGGGUGCUUCUGAGGACCCGAAACCCCACACACCCGGGAGGGACCCCGUCAGGGCUUGCGGCGGCUAUGGGCUGCCCUAGGUCGACCUGAUCGCCCCUAGGGCCUCGAGGUUCGCCGCCCUGCUAACGAAGAACGAACGAAGAAUGAGGAAGAAGAAGAACAAGGGAGAGAGAUAAAGGUAAAGGUAAAAAGAUGAUAUAUUGAUAGAUCGAUUGUGUGUUGUUUCAAUCGGCCGUCACCCCCAACAUAUAUAAGAGGCGGCUGGACUUCUCGUACAAGCAAAGGAUUUAUCUAGGCUUUCCUUACAAAAAAAUUACAUCAAUUCACGUCCAAAACCCUAGUCAAAUUCGGACUGGUUUUAUCCGAACUUUCCAAAACUGUUUGGUUUAAACUGGCUACACCUUGCGGGUCUUUUUUGCGGUGGUAAACUAUCUCGGAUGAAAACAAGUGCAAAAGCAAUCUUGACCGUUUCGACGAGACGAACAACUUUCAUGUUUAAGGUUUUUUGAUCAGAGAUCAUCUUGAGGGUCAGAUCGGUCUCGCAACACAGGCUAUUCCCUCGCGCUACCCGUCAGACAUGUGUUUGGUGGGGCGCGCCACGUCUCGCCUCGUGACAGGGCUGCACUCCGAUUGCUUUAACUUUUGCAUACAAACUCAGAACGAUUUAUAUAUCAAAAUCGAUCGUUUAGAUGAGAUGAAGACAACCCGUGUAGAUCAUUUUUUCAUUUGAGGUCGUCUUGGGGGCUUAUUCGGCUAAACUGUACUUUGAAUAUAAGAUCUUAGUACUUUGAGCAUAGUUUCGGCCUUCGAGAUGAAAUCGGACGGCGAUGACCCAAAUUUCAAAGAUGUUCAUAUCAAUAAUAGGAACUCUUUCAUGUAGAUCACUUCUCCAUUUGAGGCCAUCUUAAUUAUGUUUUUCACCAUGCCAAAAACUGGUGUCAACAUCGGAUAACACAUAUUGGACUAUUCACUUUGAUGGAUCCAGGCAAUUGGAGGGCUCGAGGGCUGGAGUUGUCUUGACUUCCCCAUGAGGUGAUAAGUUUUCUUAUGUUCUCCGGUUGAUGUUCCCUUGUACUAACAAUGCAGCUGAGUACGAGGCUUUGCUCCACGGUCUUCGGAUGGCUAAGGAGAUGAUAUCGAGCCGGGUGAGGUGUUUCGGCGACUCAGAUCUGGUAGCUUAGCAAGUUUCUGGCACUUGGGACUCUAAGGAUCCACUCAUGGCGGCUUAUCAUUGAGAGGUUGACGCUAUCGUAGGUCACUUCAAGGGUUAUCAAGUUGAACAUGUUGAUCACAGGAAAAAUGAGGCGGCUGACGCUUUAAGACAGUUAGGGUCUCAGCGUAAGCCGGUGCCACCUAAUACUUCCCUGGAUAUUCUGCAUAACCCUUCUGUCAAAUGGCCUAUAGAAGAGGAUCUUGCUAUUCCUGAUCCAGAAACGCAAUUGGUGGCGGCUCUUCAUGCUAUUCCCAACGGGACGAUUCCAUAUUUGGCUUAUAUAACCUAGGGCGAGUUACCUGAGGAUGAAGCUUUGGCCAGGCAGAUAACCGGGCGGUCUAAGUCAAUGACUAUUUUCAAUGGAGAGUUGCAUCAUCGCAGUGUCACAGGGGCGUUUCAACAUUGUGUUUCCCAUGAAGGAGAUUGUGGUCAUCAUGUCGGUUCUAAGUCUCUCGUAGCCAAGGCUUUCCGUCAUGGGUUUUAUUGGUUGACGGCUCACGCUGAUGCUGAGGAUCUAGUUAGUAAAUGUGAUGGUUGUCAGAAGUUUUCAUGACGAGCUCAUGUGCUGGCUCAAGAAUUGAGGAUGAUUCCGGUUGCUUGGCCGUUUGCAGUCUGGGGGCUUGAUAUGGUUGGGACUUUCAAGAGGUCCAAAGAUAAAAAGACUCAUCUUUUGGUGGCAGUUGACAAGUUUACAAAAUGGGUUGAGGCGGAGCUGGUUAGCAAGUGUGACGCAGCGAUGACGGUUCAAUUCAUCAAAAAGGUGAUUUUACGUUUUGGCUUUCCCCAUAGCAUUAUAACUGAUAAUGGCACUAAUUUAUCCAAGGGUGCUAUGAAAGAAUUUUGUCAACGUGAGCAUAUUCGGCUUGACAUAUCAUCAGUGGCUCACCCCCAGUCUAAUGGUCAAGCUUAGAGAGCCAAUCAAGAGAUCUUGAGAGGCAUCAAGCCCCGUCUUAUGGUUCCUUUGCAGAGGACACCGGGUUGUUGGGUGGAGGAGUUACCCUCAGUGUUAUGGAGUAUCAAUACUACCCCAACAGAUCUACGGGUUACACACCUUUCUUCAUGGUUUACGGAGCAGAGGCGGUUCUCCCUAGUGACAUCCGUGACGACUCGCCCCGUGUGGCGGCUUAUGUUGAAGCUAACAAUGAAAAAGCACGUCAGGAUGCACUUGACCUGUUAGGUGAGGAGUGUGACCUUGCGGUGGCUCGUUCGGCGAUUUACCAACAAGAUCUGCGCCGUUAUCACAACCGCCGGGUUAAAACAAGAACCUUUCAGGAAGGUGACUUGGUGCUCCGGCUUUUCCAGGAUCAAUCUGAUAUGCACAAGCUAUCCCCACCUUGGGAAGGGCCCUUCGUGGUCAGCAAAAUUCUGAACAAUGGGUCAUACUACCUUAUCGAUGUUCGAGACCGCAAAGACUCACACACGUCGGAGGAGGAGACCUGCCGGCCAUGGAAUAUUGCUCAUCUUCGGCCUUACUACACCUGAGCCACUGGCUCUUAUGAUGUACAUAUUAUGACAAUGUAUAUAUUAUGAUGAAUAUAAUAAAGCCAGCAUCCCUGAUAAUUCAGGGCCUCUGUCGUUUCAUUCCUGAGAAUAACGAGUCUUUAUUGUCAUGAUCACUUGGGGGCUUCCUGCUCAUUGAGCAUAGCUAUGACUACCCUUUUGGUAUGGCUUGUAUGCCAUGAUUAUAAAACACUUGGGGGCUUCCUGCUCACUGAGUAUAGCUAUGACUACCCUUGUGGAUCUGGCUUAUAUGCCUGGAAUAAAUUGUUACUUGGGGGCUCUUUGUUCAACGGACAAGAGUUUUUAUGACUCUUGUAAUAGGCUUGGAAGCCAGGUGUAUUCACCUAAAAACCCGGGUUGACCUGCCUUUUCAAGUCUGCCACUCCACCCAGAUUGACUGGAAUGACUCGCCAUACUUUUGACAAGUCAAUCUUAUACAGACCCUGAACUUGUCAAAGUUAAAACAAUGAUUCGUCAUAUGAGGCCAGGCUUAUAAGGUUUGCAUGAAGGUUUAACUCAGUGGCUGUGCGGCCCUUUGAAAGCACUUGAUUUUUAGGCUUGGCAGCCUAUGAAAAGCCUUGUUUUUUGAUUUAUAUUUGAAAAGUUUUUUGAGGUUCAUCUCUUGUGACAUGUUAAUACAUGGUUGAAAACAACGAAGGUUAUGAUGCCUUAUGAUGACAUUAUCUGGUGUUUAUUAACCCGGCCUGGCUUUGGACUAUAAGUCGCUAGUAUAUAAGGAUCUUAUAUACCUGGAAGCACUGUGCUCCAAGUUUUGGGAUAUUACCCCUUGCUGUACAUGGCGUUGUAAGCUGGCAGUAUAUGAUAAUUGAGCAGGGUAUUUUAUGCUCAAUCUUUAGUUGUCACCUUUAUUACGCUGGUAUGAUAAGCCGACAGUGUGAGCAAAUAUCACAAGUAUGAUAUUUUUAUUAUGAUUAUAUAUGGUUAUGAUUAAACCGCCACUGGUGUCAGUGUCAAAACCGGCGGAUCUCGGGUAGGGGGGUCCCGAACUGUGCGUCUAAGGUCGAUGGUAACAGGAGACAAGGGACACGAUGUUUACCUAGGUUUGGACCCUCUCUAUGGAGGUAAUACCCUACGUCCUGCUUGAUUGAUAUUGAUGAAUAUGAGUAUUACAAGAGUUGAUCUACCUCAAGAUUGUAAUGGCUAAGCCCUAGAAGUCUAGCCUGUAUGACUACGAUAUUGAGUAUAUAUCCUUUCCGGACUACACCCUCUGGUUUAUAUAGUCACCGGGGGGGGGGAUCUAGGGUUACAUAGAGUCGGUUACAUAAGAUGUAAUCUUCAUAGUUGUUCGCCAAGCUUGCCUUCCACGCCAAGGAGAGCCUUAUCCGGACACGGGUACAAUAUUCGGUCUUCAUAUCUUCACAGCCCAUCAAUCCGGCCCGUAGAUAACAGGCUGGACGCCCGAGGACCCCUUAGUCCAGGACUCCCUCAGUAGCCUCUGAACCUGGCUUCAAUGACAAGGUAUCCGACGCGUAGUGCUGUCUUCGGCAUUGCAAGGCGGGUUCCUCCUUUUUAACUCCCGAAUAGUCUCCAGACGAGUUGAUCGUGUCCGGACCUGUAACACACACCGCACGCAACCGCAGAGAGGAUAUAAUAACACACGAGCCCAAUCUGCUGACAACUUUAGUGAUGUGACAUCACGCCUGUCCGGUCAUAAUUUCGAACCGUUUUUUGCCCCAUGUUUCGAGACGCGGUUGUCAUUGGCACGUCUUGUCAAAGCAGAGAUCGUGUCCCCUUAUUACGGGAUUCUCAUCAACAUGGGCGUGGGUAACCCAACCGCGCCGUUUACACAACCCUUGGGAGCAGGCGAAUUUUAAGGUGAAUGGGGGGCGUUCGAUAUUCACCACCCUUAUAAGGAGAUAAAAUUCCUCUUUCUUCUCCCACGCUUUCUUCCUGUCUCUCCUUUCUUGAGCUCCAACUCCCGAGUUCUCAUUUCCCUGUCUCGAGAAAGCACUCAACCAUGUCCGGAUCCGGAGGUCAAGGCAAAUGGAUGGCCUCCUCUAUUAAGGAGGAGGACAUCACCGAGCUUUGGGCGGCCGGGUACCUGGCGAAGGAAAUCACCCACCGUCUUCCAGCCCGGGGACAAAUCAUCCCCACACCGAAGCCCAACAAGAGGGUAGUGUUCAUCCCUCAUUUCCUCCGCGGGCUAUGGUUUUCACUCCACCCCUUCAUCCACGGGAUAAUUUUCUACUAAGGGAUAGACUUCCACGAUCUAUCCCCGAACUCCUUCCUCAAUAUCUCGGCAUUCAUCAUCGUGUGAGAGGCCUUCCUCCGCAUCCACCCCCACUUCGGCCUGUGUCUCAAAACCUUCAACAUGAAGCCCAAGGUCGUGGACGGACAUCACGCAGAGUGCGGGGCACCAUGGUGAGCAAGCUCACCAAUGUCUCUUGGCCAAAAGGCACAUUCGUGGAAUCUGUUAAGGAAUGGCAGAAGCUAUGGUUCUACUUCACCGAACUCUGCUGUAACGCCCUCGAUGCGGCUAUAUCUCCCACGUGUCGAAGCAUGACUUAGAGGCAUAACCGCAUUGAAAGCAAUGUCGCAAGUGAGGUAAUCUUCACACAACCCAUGUAAUACAAUAGGGGAAAAAGAUAUAUAGUUGGCUUACAAUCGCCACUUCACACAAUUACAUGAAUAAGGCAUUACAUCAUCCAGAUACAAUCAAGGUCCGACUACGGAACCAAAAUAAAAGAAGAACCCCAAAAGUGACACGGUCCCCGAUCGACCCCAAUUGGGCUCCACUACUGAUCAACUAGAACGAAACAACACAAAGGACAAGAUCUUCAUCGAGCUCCUCCUUGAGCUUGGUUGCGUCAUCUGCACGGACUCAUCGGCACCUGCAAGCUGGUUUUGGAAGUAUCUGUGAGUCACGGGGACUCAGCAAUCUCGCACCCUCGUGAUCAAGACUAUUUAAGCUUAUGGGUAAGAUAAAAGUAUGAGGUGGAGCUGCAGCAAGCGACUAGCAUAUAUGGUGGCUAACAUACGCAAAUGGGAGCGAGAAGAGAAGGCAAAGCACGAUCGAUAAACUAUGAUCAAGAAGUGAUCCUAGAACAACCUACGUCAAGCAUAACUCCAACACAGUGUUCACUUCCCGGACUCCGCCGGAAAGAGACCAUCACGGUUACACACGCGGUUGAUGCAUUUUUAAUCAAGGUCAACUUCAGGUUUUCUACAACCGGACAUUAACAAAUUCCCAUCUGCCCAUAACCGCGGGCACGGCUUUCAAAAGUUCAAAUCCCUGCAGGGGUGUCCCAACUUAGCCCAUGACAAGCUCUCACGGUCAACGAAGGAAUAGACCUCCUCCCGAGACAUUCCGAUCAGACUCGGUAUCCCGGUUCUUCAAGACAUCCUCAACAAUGGUAAAACAAAUCCAGCAAAGCCGCCCGAUGCGCCGACAUCCUGAUGGGAGCUGCACAUAUCUUGUUCUCAGGGCAACACCGGAUAGGUCAAGCUAUGAGUAAAACCAGCCCUCAAGUUUCCCCGAGGUGGCCCCGCAGGCUGCCCAUUUCGGACCAACACUUAGACAAGCACUGGCCCGGGAGGGGUUAAAAUAAAGAUGACCCUCGGGAUGCGCGACUCCCAAGGGAAAAAGGCUAGGUGGCGAAUGGUAAAACCAAGGUUGGGCCCUGCUGGAGGAGUUUUAUUCAAAGCGAACUGUCAAGGGGUUCCCAUUAUAACCCAACCGCGUAAGGAACGCAAAAUCCGGGAACAUAACACCGAUAUGACGGAAACUAGGGCGGCAAGAGUGGAACAAAACACCAGGCAUAAGGCCGAGCCUUCCACCCUUUACCAAGUAUAUAGAUGCAUUAAUUAAAUAAGAUAUAUUGUGAUAUCCCAACAAGUAAACAUGUUCCAACAAGGAACAACAUCUCCAUGUUCCAACAAGGAACAAACUUCAAUCUUCACCUGCAACUAACAACGCUAUAAGAGGGGCUGAGCAAAGCGGUAACAUAGCCAAUCAACGGUUUGCUAGGACUAGGUGGGUUAGAGGCUUAGUUCAACAAUAUGGGAGGCAUGAUAGGCAAGUGGUAGGUAUCGCAGCAUAGGCAUAGCAAAAGAGCGAGCAACUAAGCAAGCAAAGAUAGAAGUGAUUUCGAGGGUAUGAUCAUCUUGCCUGAGAUCCCGCAAGGAAGAAGAACGAGUCCAUGAAGAAGAUAAAUGGACGAAGUCGAACCAAUCCUCACAACACGACGUUAUCGGAACCAACCCGAAGAAGCAACACCGGAAAGAAGCAAACAACAUAGUAAACAACCAACACAUAGACAUGGCAUGAUGCACAAACAAUUAUGAUGCAUGUCCAGUUUAAUUAGGCAUGGCAUGGCAAAGUGCACAAGCAACCCCACAAAUUAAGUGGAGCUCAAUAUGCAACGAGUUGCAUAUUGACGAAACACCACAUGACUUAUUUAGUUCACUCUCGGUUAGGUACCCAACAAUAUUCAAUGUUGUUAAACAUGGCAAGAAGUGAGGCAUAACAAAACUACACCAUCUAAACAAUUCAAAUGAGGCCGGAUAUAACCAACAACAAAU
rnacentral:lncRNA from 1 species